CUGGUAUGACUCUCUUGAUUAAAGCAUUUUCUUAUUUCACGGGUAAUGAUAGAGAGACAAUUCUAAUCCUACCUCAACCCCACACGAAGGCAAAUAAAAACUUGAAAUAUUUUAACAAAAUACUCUUAAAGUUAUAGGCUACAUUCGGUAUUAUUGUGCUAUGGUAUUGUGGAGGAAAUGCAACAAUUGUCGUAAAAUAAAAACUCCAACUGCAAGGUAUGAUUAUUUUGAACUAAAUGAAAAAUUUAACAAAAACAAUAAAAGUACUACAGGGUUUUCAUUAACAAUUGUGUAAUAAAAUCAUCGUAAUUUCUAAAUAAGAUCCUUAAAUCUUUUGUUAAUGUUAGGUCAUGUAGAGUUAUUUGGCCCCAAUAUGUAGGCUUACGCUAUACUAUUUAUUACUGACCACUUUUGCAGGCUCUCAUAUUAGCGGCAUCAGACACCUCGAAAAUAACAUUAACAUGGAUUUUAUCUUUACUUCUCAACCACCGUGAUGUUUUAAAGAAAGCUCAAAAUGAACUAGACGUUCAUAUUGGUAAAAGAAGACAAGUGAAUGAAUUAGACAUAAAAAAUUUGGUUUAUCUCCAAGCAAUUAUCAAGGAGGCAAUGCGUCUUUACCCCGCCGGACCACUUGCAGCCCCGCAUGCGUCUACGGAGGAUUGCACUGUCAAUGACUACUUUGUGCCAGCAGGCACUGUACUAUAUGUUAACGUUUGGAAGAUUCAUCGCGAUCCACGAGUUUGGCCAGAACCUUAUAAGUUUAAACCUGAGAGAUUUCUUACCACCCACAAACAUAUUGAUGUUCGUGGCCAGAAUUUCGAACUGUUACCGUUUAGUAGUGGCAGAAGAAUGUGCCCUGGACCCUCAUUUGCCAUCCCAGUUACGCACCUUACACUUGCUACUUUGUUACAUGGGUUUGAUUUUGAAACCCCGUUGGAUGAACCAGUUGAUAUGAGUGAGGGAAUGAGCUUGACUCUGGUUAAAACCACUCCCGUUAAAGUACUCAUCACUCCACGUCUUUCCGCAUCGCUAUAUGGCUAAAUUGGUUUUUGUUAAGGAAGCACACUAUGCAGAGAAGGAGAAGGAGAAACUUAACCUGAGAAAGGUUAACAAGCCUAUCACAUCAGAUCACAGUAAGCAAAGUGAGAGCUCCGCCGACAACUCAGCAUAAGUUGUUAAAAUCUGUUACUGAAGUUUAGUUUGUAAUAUUAGUAGUUAGUUGUGGGUUAUUACAAUAAUAAUGCUUAAGAAAUGUGUAUAAACUGUAUGUCACUGUAACAUUUGGGUUAAGCAAUAAAAGUACAGAGUUGAAAAAUAUUCUCUGAGAUAUUUUCUCAGCAACGACACAACUCCACUUCCAUUUCAUGUUUAUGGUAUCAGAGCCAAAUAUGGCUAGUUCAAGCAGUACAAACAUCAAAUCCAAAUCCAACACAUACAUAUCAAUCUUCACAGAUUUCAUUUUCAUUUACUACUCCAGUCAAGCUAGAUCGAUUCAAUUUUUAACUCUGGCGAAAACAUGUUCGUACUUCAAUAAGAGAAAAUCGGCUUGAAGAUUUCAUAUCUAAUGCUCAGAUUACACUAGAACAUUACAUUUCUUACAUGCUCUUCUCGGUUGGCUAUUGUCCUCCAUUAGUGAAGGUAUUUUGAGCUCUAUUCUUCACUGUGGUAAUUUGUAUGAUGUAUGGAAGUCUACUGAGAGACAAUUUAGAGCUGAAUCUGAAGCUAAAAUAAUGUAACUUCAAUAUGAGAAAAAUAUGCUUUAAAAGGAAUCCAUGUCUAUUAAGAAUAUUAAUGCAAGUUUUGAAUGGACAUGGACUUAGAUAUUUAUGACACGUUUGCUUUUAAGAAAUGUAAGGAGAAGAGAGGAGAAAAAAGGAGAUGGGAAAGAAAUAAGAGGACAAAAAUAAAUUUUAUAUCCAACUAAGUAAUGAAAAUGAAAUUGACUCUCUUUUCCACUCAUUUUCUGUCCCUCUCUUUCCUUUCAAUUCCUCUUCUCUUCCACCAUUUCUUCCAACCAAACACAAGCUUAGAUCUUCCUUCAGUCAUUACGGAUAAUAAAAUGACAUAUGAUGAUGGAUAUGCUAUGCAUUACUCUUGACACAUGAGGCUCAAUGGGAACAAAACUAGAGUGCUAAAUUUGUGUUUAAUGCAAAUUAUGGAAUAGUGAACUCUAAAAUUAUUUUCAAGUUAGGGGUAAUAGUAGAAAAGAAGUAUAUGGAUAUAGUGGAUAUUAGGGACACUUUAAUGCUAGGAAUAGAAAUCACAAUAUUAAAAGAGGAAUGAAUGCUAUAUCAUACAUAUCUCAGAGGUUUUCCUACUGGUAGUAGAAGACAAUCAAUAUAGUUGCAAUAUUAUUGGACAACAUCACAUAAUAAAUGUCAUGACCCAACCCAGACUUGGCAAGAUAUUGCACUUUGAGGCUUAACAAGGCCCGCAAGAUUUUGUUCCUGGAGCGCCCAUACACCCCAAAAUGCAUUUUGCCAAUUAAGGUGUGGAUCAUCUCUCAUAAACUCAGCAUCUCUCCUGUGCUUUGCCGAUGUGGGAUUCAUCUAGGGUUUUACAUACACCCUCUUAGGAACUCAACGUCUUCGUUGAAGUUUGCCCAACCAUCGCUCAAGAGAACAAGCGGAGCUGCUUUGAUACAAUCUAUCAUGACCCAACCCAAACCUGACAAGAUAUUGUCCGCUUUGGGCCUUAACAAGUCUCGCGCGGUUUUGUUUUCUGGGGCGCUCAUACACCCCAAGACAUGUUUUAGAGUAUACCAAAAUGUCAUCAAUGAAGACAAUGACGAAACGGUCAAGGAAAGGCUGGAAGACCCUAUUUAUCAAGUCCAUAAAAGCUACAGAAGCAUUGGUUAACCCGAAGGGCAUCACAAGGAACUCAUAGUGCCCAUAUCGAGUUUUAAAGGUUGUCUUGGGUACAUCUUCACCUUUGACCUUAAGCUGAUGAUACCUAGACCGUAAAUCAAUCUUCGAGAAUACCAAUGGACCUUGCAACUGAUCAAAAAGAUCAUCUAUACGGGAAAGAGGAUAUCUAUUCUUGAUGGUAAUCGAGUUCAGCUGUCGAUAAUCAAUGUAUAACCUCAUAGAGCCAUUUUUCUUCUUCAUAGACAUCACAAGUGCUCCCCAAGGAGACGCAUUAGGACAGAUAAAGCCCUUAUCAAAAAGUUCUUGCAGUUGAACUUUCAAUUCGUUUAACUUAAUAGACGUCAUGCGAUAAGGUGUUUUUGAGAUAGUUGCAAUGCCCGACAACAAGUCUAUCGAGAAUUCAAUCUCUGAUUAGGAGGCAAACCAGACAAAUCCUCUGGAAACACAUUAGGAAACUCCUUAACAACAUUAUUGUUUCAAAGAGAAACCUCAUCAUUCUCAUUAGCCACUAUACAAGCUAAAAAUGCCUCACACCUUUUUGCCAACAUCUUUCUAGCUUUAAGUGCAAAUAUCAAUCCUCCACAACUACUCUAUCUGCCUUGAAACCAAAAUUCCUUCUCUCCAAGAACUAUAAACACAAUCUCUUUAGAGAUGCGUCUUACAAAUUAAGGUAUGGAUCACCCUUUAUAAACCCAGCAUCUCUCACGUACUUUCCCGAUAUGAGAUUUGCUUAGGGUGUGUUAUACACACCCCUUUUGGGGACUCAGCGUCCUCACUGAGGUUUGCCCUACCAUUGCUCAAGAGGACACGUGGAGCCGCUUUGAUACCAUAUGUCAUAACCCAACCCAGACCUGGCAAGAUAUUGUCUGCUUUAGGCCUUAAAAAAGCCUAUACAAUUUUGUUCCUAGGGCAUCCAUACACCCCAAAAUGCGUCUUGCCAAUUAAAGUGUGGAUCACCGCUUAAAAAUCUAGCAUCUCUCCCAUGUUUUGCCGAUGUGAAAUUCGCCUAGGGUGUUAGAUACACCCCCUUAGGGACUCAUCGUCCUUAUCAAGGUUUUCCCUAUCAUCGCUUAAGAGGACAUGCGGAACCACUUUGAUAUCAUAAUGUCAUGACCUGACCUAAACCUGGCAAGAUAUUGUUUGUUUUCGGCCUUAACAAGGCCCGCACGGUUUUGUUCUUAGGGAGCCUAUACACCCCACAAUGCGUCUUGUAGAUUAAGGUGUGGAUCAUCCGUUAUAAACUCAGCAGCUCUCUCGUAUUUUGCCGAUUUGGGAUUCACCUAGGGUGUUACAAUAAACAUGUUUCCAAUAUGUCUCAUGGUCAAGCCUCAAUACCUAAUGGAGACAGCUCUAAUGACAAUGUCCUUAUAUGCCAUAAAUCUAGUCAUACUUUACAUUGAAAACUAUAUACCUCAAUCAAGGCAUUUUGAGAGGGACAAUAUCAAAAUAUGCUUUUAUGGCUAGUUUUGAGCCAUAUGCUAGAUUUAUACCAUAUUUUGAUGACUCUUAUGCUAUGAGUUGUUCCAACUAUCAAUGCCAUACUCAUUAAUGCGACACUAUACAACUGAAAUUUUCUUUACGCUUGGAAUUGCUUAUAAUACUAACUUUAAACGACCUGCUAAUGAUGGAUAGUUUCUUAACAGUAGAGCAACGCAUCACUUAACCAACAACAUGGCUAAUAUGAAUGUCGGAGAAGAAUUCAAUGGCUCACAUCAACUCAUCAUUAGGAAUGGAUAAUGUUUUGUAACUCAUGUGUAUAAAUUGAUUUUAGACAUGGUUAUUGUGAACUUAAUACUUUCGUUUUUCUAUCAUCACAUGAUUAUUUCACAUUUUAGCAUUGUCACUUGAAUUUCAUUAUUUGCUUCCAAAGCAUGGCUAAUAUGAAUCAAGUUUACCUAUAACUAUUGAAAGGAAAAUAUUUGACAGCUAGCUAACCACUACUUUUCUAUGAUGUUUUAAUAAUAUAGGGAUUAUGAUCCUCUCCUGAUCUUUUACAAAUCUUGUGUUACCUAUAUUUAGUGUUAGUGUAUGAUUGAGAUUUAACUACUUUUAUUUUUUUCAUUUAUUAACUACCAAUUACGUUAAUAAAAUUUAUUCAGAGGACGAUCAUAUCAAGAGAGGAUCUUGAUCCAUAGUACAGUUCUAUUUUAUAUUUAUAAUCAGAAUUCCGAAGAGAUUUGCCUUGAUAUACAUAGUCCAUCUAAAGUUCAACCUAAAAUUUUAAUACAAAAAAGGCGGAGAGGCAUUCACAUAUCGCAUCUUUAGAGGAGCUUAAUUAUGGCAUUAUCGGUGCAUGUUUCGAGAGAUAGAUUAAUGUUAUCCAGAUGCAUAAUACCAAAAUAUUUUACACUAAGCUUAGUCUUAAUUCGUAGCCCAUGACCCACUUCGCUUGGAGAGCUUGGUAAAAACUGCUCUCAAAUGACAUUAUUUAGGCCUUCAACACGUUACGCUCUCGGCAUUCACCAACUGAACUGUCAGGUUUUUCCUGCUUCAUCCGAAUCAUGCUGUAAAUUACAAAAUUAAUUUUACUUUCUAAACAAGAUAAUGCACGAUAACCUCUAUUGCAAUCAACUCAUUAAUCCAAAUAAAGGCAAACUCUAUGAACAUUCGAAGAAACAAUCGACUUACAUUGUUUGCACACUCACCAUAAAAUUUAGAUCUCAUACAUUGACACGGGCUUCAUAAACUGAAUGACAUAAGGGCCACAAUCAUAUCCACUCGGUUGUCUUGGAAGCGUUGUAUGUUGCAUCACACGAAAGAGAGAUUCUAAGGUACCUUUAUUGUGCAACACCCACUUAAUGAAUGUAUAAAAUGUGAACAUUUGUUUUAAAAAAUCAUCAUGUAAUUUGUGGUUAUAUUUAAUCCAAGCACAAAUGCAAUAUAUACAUUUAGUGGAUAUAAUACAACAAAGGUACUUUAGAAUCUCUCCACAAGAAAACUCUUAAAACUGAGACCUCCGAGUACAAGCCUUAGACAAACCUUCAAAACCUCAUCAAGCGCCCUCAAUCGCAACUACACAAUUUUCUUAUGCAACAACUUAAGUUAAGAAGUCUAUACUUUGGUUAAACAAACAGUAAACCGAAGAUCCAUUCUACUCACCAUUUUUUUUUCUUUUGUUGCUUCUCUAACUAAAGCAACUUUUCUCUGUCACUUGGUAGCAGAUACCAUAUCAUAGCACAAUUGCCUAGUAUGUCCACAAUAAUAACAUAACAGUGUGUGCCCCAUGAUUUAUUGGAAUAAAAAUAUGUUCAGAGAGCUAGCAAUUAUAAACAUACCUUCUCACACAAUUGCAAGUUAUAUGCAUAUACAAGUCUAUCAUCUGUGUUCCCAUUUCUAGGCUCUUGAUAUCACAUUUUUCAUGCAAAACUUCUGUUGAGUAGUAUAUGCAUAACUUGGAAUUGUGUGAGAAGAUAGUUUAUAAUUGGAGAAGUUAUAAAGAAACAAAGAAAAAUCAUCAUAGCUUAACAAACCAAAAUAACUCAUCAACAAAAGCCUCCAAAUCAUUCACACUUUUUCAUUUUCCUAACCUUUCGUCAAUAUAUACAGUCAUCAUGUAUCUAAUCAACUUCAUCUCGUCACCAGACACAGGUUACUGCACCACAAAAGGCCCUACCCUAAAACCACCAAAACCACUUAAAUGAGCCAAUGGCCUUUUCUUCUCAAUUGGUGGUCUGUUGGCAGCCCCUUUAGCUUCUUCGCAGCCUUAUUCAAUGGACUCUUGCCGGUCAACGACACGCAGGUUUUCUUGUGCACCCGCAAAUCCUGCAUUGUUCAACAAGACAAUAGAUACAUCCGUCAAUACACUAUCACUACAUGUAUACUCAUUUAAUAAAAUUUAACAACCUUUCAUCACCUUGAUGUGUUCAAGAAUCUUAAUGGAGCUGGGAGUACAGCUUGGCGACAUCUACAUCCCAUGCUCUGCCCUCUUUGCAACUCUGUUUCUCUUUAGCAUUUCUAGUUACAACUUCACUACUUUCUCCACAUUCUCUAUGACCUCGUAUUCUUUUCUAAAGCAACCGCAACCUGCAUUAACCACAUUCUUAAUGAUCAUCACUUUAACAAAGGGAAAAAAAAUUUAUGUACAUUAUGGUGUAAUGCAAUAAGUUGUAAUGUAAUACAAUAUUGGUGUACUGUAUUAUAUAUAAUACUAUUUUGUAUUAAAAGUAAAUUAGUACUAUUUAAAUUUAUUAUAUCUUAGUGUUAUAUAAUUAAUUUUUGAAAUUAAUUAUAAAUUAAUUAUUUUUUACGUAUUAAUUUUUAUAACAUAAGAAUAAUUUAAUUAUAUACUAUUAUCAAAUAAUAUAAUAUUAUAAAUGUCAAUAAAAUAAAAAAUAAAAAUAAAAUAAUACAAUACAAUAUUUUAAAAUUUCAAUUUAAUUAUAAUUAAUUUUUAUUUAUUAAUGUCAAAUAUAAUUAUUAAUUUAUUUUUAAAUUUUGUUAUUUUAUUAAAUAAAAAAUGAUUAAAUAAUUAAAAUAAUGUUAAAAGUAAAAUAUUGUAUUAUCAUUUAUAUUUUAUAUUAUUAUUUAAAUUAAAAUUUAUUUAAUAUAAGUAUAAUUGAUAUUAAUAAAUUUAAAUUUAUUAUAAAUUAUUAAUAAUAAAAGUAAAAUAAAUAUUUUUUAAUGCAAUGCAUCAUAAACCCUACUCUCCCAUGGGAUUAUUUUAUGUCUUUUCAUUGUAUCAACAGCCUUUUAAUACAGUGCAAUGCAACUAAAAAUUAUAGUUAAACAUGGGUUUAUAUGAGAAGAAUGUUUUAAUAUAAUACGAUACAAUAUAAUAUGAGCUGCCAAACGCACUCCAAACUCAAUAAAGAAGUACAGCAAAGCAAAACGAAGGUAGAGAAAGAAAUUAUUAAUUUGAAAAAGAAAUAAACUAACAAAUGAGAGAAAUGAGAAAAACUACUUUAAAUGGAAGGAGAUUGUUAGGUUUUCUCUUAUUGUAAUCAAUAUUCAUUACUUAUGCUCCUACUAAAAACAAUAAAUUGUGUCAGUAAGAAUUAAAAAUGAAUAAUAAGAUAUUUUUCUUAAUAGUUUUGUUAUUUUUAAAUAUUUUUCUUAUAAUAAAUAAUUUUAUAUUUUCAAGAUAAAUUAGAUUUUUUUGUACGAAGGGGUUUUUAGAUAUUAUGUAAACAAGUGUAGGAUAAAUGAUAUAUAUUGAUUUCAGUAAGAGGGAAAGCCAAAGUAAGUAUUUUAGAAACUUAAAAGAGCCUUUUAACACAAUCAAAAUGAUAAAUGCGCCACUCCUACAAAGCAAAUUUUUAAUAACCCAUCCAAGUAACUCCCCUUUGUUAAGCCAUCUACAAUCUUCAUAUCUUGUUUGUUCUAAUAUCUCCUUCGCCAACCAUUUCGUAAACUUCUUAUGUUGCAUUUAUUUACCGGAUUAGUAAAUUAGAAUCCGGAAUCGAAAUCAUUGACAUAGUUUACUUUGCAAAAUAGAGUCAAAAAUUGGAAUCAGAAUCAUGGGGCCCCCAAAAAUUUGGGAAUGAGGAAUGGGAGACUCAUCCCCAAGGAGGAGGUUAGGAAUGAGUUUCCUAUUUGCAGGAUUGACCAUUUUGCUCUCCCCCAAAAUUAAAAAUACCCACUUUGUCCUCAUUUAUAAUUAAUUAAUAUAUUAUUAUACUUAAUUAAUUAAUUAAUUAAUAUAUUAUAAUUAAAUAAUAUUUUUAAUAUAUUAUUAACAAUAAUUAUGAAUAAUUAUAGUUUUUGAAUAAAUAAUCACAAUAAUUAAUAUAUUAUAAUUAUAAUUAAUUUAUCUAUUAUUAUUAAUUAAUUAAUUAAUUAAUAUAAUUAUUACUAUUAAUUUAUUUAUUAAUAAUUAUGGUUCUUGAAUAUAAAUUGAAAAAAAUUAAAAAAUUAUUAUUAUUAUGGAAUUCAGUUAUUGUUGUUGUUAAUUAUUUUUAUGUUAAUUAUUAUUUAGGUUAUUAUAAAAUUUAUUUUUUUUUGUUGUUAUUAUUAUUAAUUUUAAUUACUACUAUUAUUUAUUUAUUAUUUUAAUUAUUAGCAUCGUCGUCGUCGUCGUCAUCAUCAUUAUUAUCAUCAUCAUCAUCAUCAUCAUCAAAUGAAAAUAAUUAACAAAGGGCAUUUUAAUAACUUGAAACAAUUCAGUUUAUUCGGAUUCUGAUUCCAAGAUAAAAUAAAUACAUUAAUGGGAUUCCAACUCAUUCACAUUCCGAUUAUUGCAACUUAAGCAAAUAAUUUAUUUUGAUUCUCAUUCUCUAUUCAUAUUCCAACUCAUUCCUAUUUCAGCCAAUUCCAAUUCGAGUCCAUUCUUAUUACUGACAAGUAAAUGCAGCAUUAAUCUUGCUCGCAUUCCAAAGAACAACAUGACACAUCAAUGGGUGUUUUAACAUUUUCCAAUGCAUCACAAAAUUAAUUUGCAUGCGUAUGCAUUGAUCAUUAUAUUACUACGCCGUUACGUAUCAUUGACCCACCAUACAAGCUCUUAAUAAAUAAAUACAUGCAUAAUUGACUACCAUCCACAAAUUUCAACAUACAACAAUAUUAUACGAUAAGUUUUUUCUUAAUAAUCAGGAUAAAGGAUUACAUUAGAGAGACAAGGCUAGCCCAUUCAUUAGACCUCGUACCUGCAAAUGUAGUAAGCAUCCACCUACAUAUGCUAGUUUUUCUUGCUUGUAUCUUGUUAUCCCUUGCAUAAGCCUACUAAAGCAAAAGGUUACCCAAAUAAUUGCACAUGCAUUCCUCUGACUGAAAUUCCCAUCGUAUACCCAAAAUUUUGUGCACUGCUCCAACUCUCUUCUAUGAACAGAUAAAGUAUAACUUGUAGUAUCAACACUAUCUAUCAGCCAAUGACGUAGCCAAACACAAUUCUAUUCAAAAGGCUUACCAAAUUAUAGGAAGUGCACGACUGCUCUUUAUUCUGCCGUUAAGUUGGUUGCCAUUGUUGCAAAUCGCUUUGGCACAUACCUCAACACAAACUUCAGCUUCUUGCCAUUAAGGCAUUGUUUACUAUUGAGGUUGGGCAGAUGUAGCUUAAAAGUUAUAACACUUAAGUGUUCUAUAAGCACUUACUACUGAGGAAGCUAAGUUGAUUGAUCCCACACAUAUAUAAUGAAAAACCUAUAAUAUCUUUACUAUUUUUGUCAAAACUAUUAUCUAAAAAUCAUAUUUAUUGCACACAAUCAAUUUACAUUUCAUAGUUACAGCUUUUUUCUACAGUAGUUUUGAUUUAAAAGUUAAAAUGCCUCAAUACCAAACAAUGCAAGGCGGUGCUCAUUGGCUUUUGUUGAUGUGUUUGCACUCUUCUUUGUUCUUAAACUCGAAUCCAAUUUCCUUUAAAUAAAAAUUUAAAUAAAAGUAUUAAACAUAAGUCUGGACGUGAAUAAAAAAAAUAGUUUCUUAUAGUUUUUAGAAUUUUAAAUAAUUUUUCUUAUAAUAAAAUAUAUUUUAUAUUCUUAAGAUAAAAUAUAUUUUAUAUUCUUAUCAAGAAAAAUGGCCUAUUUUUAUCUCUUUUCCUUUAAAUUUUUUUUGCAGCUUUAGAUAUUAUGAAAAUGGUAGAGUGUAAGUGAUAAGUAUUGAUUUUUAGUAGGGGAAAAACUAGCAAUCUCAUUAUUUCAUAUACAAAAGUUGUAGGAAAAAAUAUUACAAUACUAUUUGAAAUUAACUUUAGUGAUGCUAUUAAUUUAGUAGAUUGUUCCAGGUUAGGACAAUAUUUUAUUAUUUUUAAUAAAUUUAAUAAUUUAUAACAUUGGUCCUCAUAUAUCUAAAAGACGUUUUUGGGUCCUUUUGGGAAAAAAAUUUGUUGGGGACAAAUAGAAAAGUUUCUUCAAGUUGGCAAACAAUAUUGGUUGUAGCUAUCUAAUUAGUUGGAUUGCAAGAAACAAAAUCAAAACCAUACAAUUUUAAUAAUACCAUGUUUAAUAUAUUUGUAAAAGGUCAGCAUAGAUAAUGAGAAGAAAAACAAAUAGAAGAUCUUUAACUCUUUCAAUAAGCUUUAAUUAUGGCAUGUCAGGGCAAGUUUUGAAAGCUAGAUUAAUGUGAUCCAGAUGCAUGCGGAUAACAAAAUUUUGUAAAAUGUGUAUACUUGUAGUGGCAAUGUAUUGAUGGAUGUAUUAUAUUAUUGAACAAUGCAAGAUUCGAAGAUGUAUAAGAAAAUAGGUGUGUCAUCAACAGGCAAGAGUCCAAUGAAGGAGGUUGCGGAGAUGUUGGUGGGGUUGGCCAGUAGUCCACCAAUAAAUGAGACAAGACCAUGUAUUCAUUUUAGCAGUUUUAGGGUUGGGCCAUUUAUGUUGCUGUGCCCUGUGUCUGAUGCCGAGAUGAAGUUUGUUUGGAUACAUGAUGAAUAAAGAUCUACACCAUGGGUAAGUAAAAUGUAAAAAAAAAAAAGUUUGAAUGACUUAGAUGCUUUUGUUGAUAAUUUAAUUUGUUUUGUUAAGCUGUGGUACGCGUGUUUGUAUGUUUAACUUGUUGUUUAUAAUUUGUUAUGUAUAGAGAAAUUAAUGUGAGAAUUGGGUGAGCAAGAGAGAAGUGUUGUCACUCCAUAAAAAAAGAUGGAUACAUGGCACAACGAGUGAGUGCAUCGAGUAUAUUAAUUGUGGUGAGUAGUAUCGAAAGGCUUGUUCGGUAUUAUUUAUAAAUUAGUAGUUUUUUGAAAACAAAAAUGAGAAUGAAAAGGGUGUUUUAAAAAUGUUGUAUUUCAAAUUUAAGUAUGCGUCAGGUAUAUCUUGGAUUUUGAUGUAGAGGAUGUGGUCAUUGAAAAAAAAGGUCAAAUUCCUUCAAUUUCUUUCACAUAAGGUGCACGCACAACUUAUGAAACCAGGGCAAAAUAUAGUGAUUGUGAAACUCCUUAAGCACACCAUUAGUUACAGAGCCCUGUGUAACAGAAUAGAAACCUUGUGGGAAAUGUUACAUGGCUUUAUGGUGAUUGAUCUUGAGAAUGACUUUUACCUAGUUUGUUUCAAAAUGGAAACUGAUGCCCAUCAUGCUCUCACCCUAGGACCUUGGAUGAUAUUAGAACACUAUUUCACUGUUCAACAAUGGCACCCCACUUUGAUAGUUCUUUUUAGACAAUUGACUAAAUUAUUGGUUGGAUUCAUUUGCCUGGGAUGCCCCUACAUUAUUAUUAUAAGCACAUACUAAGGCUGUGGGGACAGAUUAUUGGUAAGGUUUUGCAUAUUGAUUACACUGUAGAAUCUAUUAUGAGGGGAAAGUUUUCCCAUAUUGCAGUAGAGGUUACGCUAAAUAAACCACUUAUUUUGUAAUUCAUUAAUGGAAAAAUUCAGAGGAUUGAAUAUGAAAGUCUCCCUUCAAUACGCUUUAGGUGUGGGAAUUAGCAGAGAAGAAAGAUACUAGAGAGUCGGGGGGAUAUGGUAGCCAAAACGGAUGAUGGUGUAAAGAGCAUAUAUGGAAAAUUCUAUGGAAACCUCCUUAUAUGGUCAUUGGAUGAUUGUAGCUAAAAAGGCAAGCCAAGGAGGCUUAAGGAAACUAAAGUGGAAAAAGAAUUUAAUCGAUUCCAGAAAGGCAAUGCGAGAGAUGGAUCCCCUUUUUUUAAUCCUCGCUACUAAGGAUUCCUUGGAUAUUGGGCGUAAUAAUAGCAAUGAUAUCCCAAGUCAUUAUUUACUAAAAUGCAUGCCAAACUGACCUUUUGCAAAACAGGCCAGAAACACAAAAACCAACCUGAAGCCUAAAUCCUGGCAUGGUAAUAGUAACCAAAAUCCUAGCCCAACUCAUGCUUCAAAACACCAGCCUAAUAUUUUCAAUGCAAAAGCUAUCCCUCAAGCCAAGUCGAUGUAAAAUAACAUGCAAAACACGACACCCCCACGUAAGCAAGGUUGGAGGCCAUACAAGACUAGAGGGUGCAACGGCCCCUGCUGAAUUUUAAAAAAUUUUAGGGUUUUUAAAUAAAAUAUGAAAAUUUAGUGUAAAAUGUCUAUACUAGCCCAUGCACAAUUAAUGUAUAAAGUUUAUAUAUUAGAUAAUACUGUAAUUUUACUAUUAAACCCACUAAUGAUAGCAUCAAAGUAUUAAGAAACAAAUCAGCUAAGCCCAUUAAAGCUCACUAAGUCACUAAUAUAUAAUAACAUAAAAAAUAGAAAUUUAAAUUUGGCCCUUAUAGGAUUUCCCCAUAAGCUCCGCCCUGCACGUAAACACAUGCAACCUCACGAAAUCAACAUCACAACCCAUAAUCUAAAACCUAGUAAACCAACCCUUGACCCUUUUAAAACAUUUAGUGAUUUCCUUUGCCACCCUCAUUGCUGUUGAUACUAUUAGUCUCCCUUGAUUUUCAAAGAACUUUCAAAGUUUUUGUUCAGAUGUAUAAUAGCUCUGUUUGAACCUCAUAUUAGUGGGAAGAAAACUAAUGAUUUUAUCCUCAAAAGUGGUUUUGAUAGAUCUCAUAGAAUUGAGACAGUGGUUUUUAGGGGUGGUAUUUGGCUGUUUGAGAGGAAAGGCUUCAACAUGCACAUUGUUAUUAACCAUAAACGGCUUGUCUACCUUCAUAUUUCCAAUGCGUAUGGCUUUGUUUCCUAGCUUAGUGUUGUUUACAACAGUCUCAUUCCUUUGCUUAGGAAUCUUUUUUAGAAAGAGCUUGAUGUUAUUGCUAAGAGGGUCAUGGGGCUUGGAUUCUCAAGGGUGAAUUUAACACUAUUUUUCAUUCUUCAGAGAAGAGAGGUUGGUCGAUUCAUAAUACUGGUGUCUGCAAUCGUUUUAGAAGUUGGUAUGAUAGAAACUAUUUUUAUGAUACCAUUUUAGUGGUCCAAAAUUUACAUGAGGCAGAGGUAAUUUGCUUAAGAGGCUGGAUAGGACUUUCUACAAUGAUGCGUGGCUGGUCAAGUUCUUUGAGUCCCAAAUUCUUCAUCUUCCAAAAAUAAUUUCUGAUCAUCGUGCCAUGCUUGCAUGUUUUGCUAGAAAUGUGGCGCGACCCAAUGAUCCUAAGCAGCCUCACUUUCUGGCUCCUUGGCUUACAAACAACAAAUUUAAAAAAAUAAUUUCAAGCAACUAGGAUAAGAAUGGUGAAUGUAUUGCUCAGUCCAACAAUUUUAUAAGGAGGUCAACAGAUGGAACAAAGAAGUUUUUAGAAAUAUACAGAGAUAGAAAAGUAGAAUCCUUGCUAGACUGAGGGAUGCCUAGUGUGCUUUAGAGAAGUACUCAUCCAAAAAUCUUGUUGAAUUAGAAGUUUCUCUUAAGUAGGAAUUUGAAUUUAUUUUAACUCAUGGGAACUCUUAUGGUACUAGAAGUUAAGGAAUGAGCAUAUCUCUUGGGGCGAUCGGAACAUAACUUAACUCCAUCAUCAAACAAUUUAGAGAAGAAGGAGAAAUCAUAUUGAUAUGAUAAAGAAUGAUAAUAAGGAAUGGAUUUUGAUAAAGAUAUGAUUAAAGAUUAUGCAAUGAAGUUCUUUAGGAAUUUUUAUACCAUGGAAGAUAACUACUAUACGCCCUAUCUGUUAGCAAGUUGAGCAAUUUAUUGUCUAUACAGCUACAUUAUCACCAUUGCCCAUCCUGUGUUCCAUUUAACCCGUUAUUUGUUUUGACGCAGCAGCAUCGCCAUUUAAAACACUUAAUGCAGAAGCAUUGCCAGUUAAAACACUUAGUAGAGCAGCAGGGUCUCAAACAUUUUGGAAUGCAGCAGCAGGGUCUCAAGCAUUUUGGUCAUUUGGGCCACCGACAACAGUUGACACAGCUUGGUAUCCAACAUUUUGGGCAUUUAGGUUUCCAGCAACAUUUCGUGCGGCUAAGUUUUGGACAUUCAGGGCAUUUGGGUCGGCAGCAUUUAAUCCUACAGAACCUGUUAGCAGACCCGGCGUUGGCGUUGGACAUUAUUGGUAGAUGGAGUUUCUGCCAAAUCUUAUUAGGUCAGAUUUUAGUGUUCAUGUUCUUCAUUUCUUGAGUAAACCAGCAAAGGUGGUGGAUGUAAUCUGGAUAUAGCGCCAAGUUGUAGUGCCCUCCUCCUUUAAUCCACAAAGGCUCUAACAGAUCUCUUGCCAUUUUCCAGAGUUUAUUUCCAUGAAACCAGUUCACAACAUCAUCAUCUGUUCCCUGUCAAAUUGUGGACCACGCCCAUUUAAUCAUUUGUCAUCAAGAAGCCAGUUCUAAUAAAGAUAAAUCAACCAUCAUUAGUUACAAAUGAGCAAUUCAUCCACGAUGCAUGUCAAAGUAGUGUAGAAAAACAAAUCGAUUGAUACGAAGCUCUAAAGGCAAACUUCAAAGGAUAUGUUUGUGGUAUUUAUUAAUACAUGUUUACGAGAAUUUUAGGGAAGCUUUUCAAAAAUUUGGUGGUAUUAUGAAAGAGGACUAAAUACCAGCAGCUAAAACCGCCUACAAGGCUUUACAUUACUAUUAUAUCCUUUGAUGAGCUUUAUAAUUGCAUUGGCGGUGCAUGUUUUGAAAGAGAGAUUAAUGUUACUUAAACAGAUGAUACUAAAUAAUCAAUAAAUGUUGCGAGAGGUGGCACAUUUGCGCAUGCAGCACAGAAUACAAGUACAUUUGCUAGGCUUAGAAUUAGGGGAGGGUUGGUGCAACUCAUAAUCUCACUACCCCAAUAUUUGCUAGCCACGUAAGCCUGAGGCUGCUGCUCCAUGACACUACGGGUGCUUACCAUAAUUUGAGCCCAAGCUUUGAGACUAUCAUUCAACCAUAUUAAUAUUUAUUAGAAGUUAUGAUGAUCAAACCUAGGAUGCAAUACACAUUGAGGAGAUAACUGUAGAUAAUAGUUCCUGAUAAUUAUAGCAUGUCACUUUGACCAAUAUUAUUCUAGCCCACUUGACUAGCACAAUAAAAUUGACCAAAUUUAGAAACUAGAAAAACUCAAUAUGAUAGGUACACAAGCCGAGCGUCACUCUCUUGGAUGCAAUUAAUUCCAGCCUGAAACUAAUAAUAAAGAAGCCUGCAACCAACAGCAUCACAUUCAAAAUUACACUUGAUGCAUCAUUAUCCCUUGUUUUCUUCCACCACUUAUUAAUAGUUACAAAAAACAUCUAUAAAAAAAAGCUAGACCCUGAAUCUAUUACAGGAAAAAGGGGAUCCUUUUAAGUCCCCAGGUGCGAUUUUCCUUGUUUUUGUUGAGUUUGAAUACAACAGAAGCUAAGAAGAAUCUCCAAGAAUGAAGCAAAAAACCGAGAACCCACUUACAAGAUCAGAAACCAGAUCUUGAACACCAACACCAAACAACACAAUUCAAAGGGGAAAAUGACACUCUUUUAUUGCUCAAAUCGAUUACAAAUCUAUCAAAUCUUGUAAAGGAGAUUACAAGCUUUACAAAGAUUUUAGAAUCACAGAAAUUGGAUGAAAAACGAAAGAGAAAAGUAACAUACACCAGAUGCUACACAUCAGCUCUGUUUAUAAAGCUAGUUUUGAAGAUUUCCAGAAGCAGCCAACCAAACAAACAUAACGAAGUUUUAGACACGUCAGCAACUAAAUUGCAAAUUGAUCCUCAAACUUAAGUCAAUCUGCAUAAAGACCACAGAAGUCUUAACUCUUUUCAUUUAACCCCUUAAAACAGAAUCUGAUUCUUCACAAUCUCCACCUUGCAGAUUUGAUUCAGUUUGAUUCUUGACCAUAAAAACUGCUUCAAAAAAACCCUUUAAAGCACACAGCCUCGAGAUUAAGAAUAAUCUUGUUAAAAACAUCAAUGUGCUCUUGUAUUGACACACCUUCUUUUAUAGAAAAGGUAUACAGCCUCUUCUUUAAGAAUAGUCUGUGAGCAAGUGAUUUCUUCAUGCACAAAGCCUCCACUUUGUUCCAAAUGCCCAGAGCUGUUUUCUCAUCUGAGAUUUCCCUCAGAAUUGAGUCACUCAGACUCAAGAUCAGGGUACUAUGGGCUCUAUUGUGAAUAUGCUUCAUCUUUUCACUAGAUCUAGAACUUCCAACAGUUUCUGGAUCUUCUUCUUCUAAGGCUGACUCCAAUCCUUGAUGAACAAGGAGAGCUCUCAUUUUCAUCUUUCAAAGUGAGAAAUCACCACCAAUGGGGAAUUUCUCAAUCUUGUGCUUUGGAAGUGACAUUGUUGCGAUCCCCCUAUGGCUCUGAUACCACCUGUUGAGUUUGAAUACAACAGAAGCUAAGAAGAAUCUCCAAGAAUGAAGCAAAAACUGAGAACCCACUUACAAGAUCAGAAACCAGAUCUUGAACACCAACACCAAACAACACAAUUCAAAGGGAAAAAUGGCACUCUUUUAUUGCUCAAAUCGAUUACAAAUCUGUCAAAUCUUGUAAAGGAGAUUACAAGCUUUACAAAGAUUUUAGAAUCACAGAAAUUGGACGAAAAACGAAAGAGAAAAGUAACAUACACCAGAUGCUACGCAUCAGCUCUAUUUAUAAAGCCAGUUCUAAAGAUUUCCAUAAGUAGCCAAACAAAUAUAACGAACUUUUAGACACGUCAGCAACUAAAUUGCAAAUUCAUCCUCAAACUUAAGUCAAUCUGCAAAAGAUCACAGAAGUAUUAACUCUUUGCAUUUAACCCCUUAAAACAGAAUCUGAUUCUUCACAAUUUUGUUAUAAGUGGACCAGUUUCCCUUUUCAAUCAGCAUUACAAGUGUAUUUAAUUGUGAUCAGCAUUAAGGUGCGCAGGAUUUUACAGUAUGGAAUGUGAAUCAUAGGCCUCAUCAAUUCCCUCAGUCGAGCGAACAAAUGCUCGCCCUAACAGAAACCCAAGGCAUCAUUUUUUCCAUCAGAAAUAAUAUUUUCAUUAACACCUUUAAGAACAGCAAGAACAUUGGAAACAAGCAAACAGAACAUAUGCACAUAUACACAUUACUACAAGGACAAUCAACAGAAAAACACAACAGCUGCAAUCUUAACUUUCUAAUUGGACUUGAACACUAGAUGUCUAAAGAGAAAUUUGACACACAAUAUAAUGCAAAACAGCAUAAACCAAGUCUGCAGAGCGACCAGUCGUCAUCUCUCGAUCCACUUAAAGCAUAAUCACAAACACUUGACUCCUGCAAAGUGAAUAAUACUAUAGACAAGACGUAGGCUCUCAAUAUAGCUGAAAGGUGGAAAAAGCAGGCAUAUCAUAUGCUGAUAUGCUAAAAGGAAAAAGAUAAUUAGUUAUAAAGGAAAAUUAUAAAAGAAAAAGAAAAAAUGAAUAGAAAUCGUGUGCAAGAUAAUUGUUGAGUUAUAAAGGAAAAGGGUAAUUAGAUAUUCUAAUUGGUAAACUGCCUCUAUAUCAGCAUAUGUAUUGGAUUCACUUGGCUGUAAGAUUAUAAAGGAAAAAGGUAAUUUGUUACUUAUAGCAAUCAACAUGACAAGACUGCAAGGAGUAAUAAGAUUAAAAAGCAAAACCAGGAAAAGCACUUCUACUUGUAAGCCUGCUAUUAUGUUUUGACAUUGAAGGAACAGGGCAUAUGCUAUUGUCACUCAAGUGAAGUGGAUUUAUAAACUAAAGCUAAACACGAGAGUGUUGACAUUGAAGGAACAGGGUAUCCGCCAUUUUCAUCCAAGUUCUUAGAAAAUGUAUGAUGAGUGUUCGGCGAGCAAGAAAAUGAAAGAGCAUAACAAAAAGAGCUUGAAUAUUCUGGAAAAAAUGCUAGAUUCAAUUGUUAGCUCAGUUCAAAAGGAAUGAUUACAAUGUAGCUUAUUUAGUAGCUCUAGUGAAUCUAACUAACUAGCCACAGAAGCUACUCGAUCAGUCUACUUAAUAUAAAGUUUGUAACAAUUUCAGCUGUCAUGUAUAACUAACUUUGACAUGUCAGCAGCUGGAAUUUGUUCAGCUAUUCGAUUGUUCAGGAAGCUUACGGUGUUCUGCUUGCUCUGAACUAAAGUUAAACAUGAAUCUGAUCAGGAGAUUCAACAAUGUGGCCCUUAAUUUAAAGACACGUUUCUACCCAGAUAAUCGUACGCUUUAUAACAAAAUUAAGCCUGUCACAUGCCGGAUUCGUCUAAAUCAUAGCCGCAAAUUGUCUCAAAGCAACAAGCAAUCAUUUAUUAAUAUUAUAAUAAAUAUUUUUAAAAUUGAAAAUAACCUAAAAAAAUUAUAUUAUAUAUUUUAAUUUAAAAUAUUAAAAAUUAAUUUUUGAGUUAUUAAUUUUUAAAAUAUUUUUUAAAUGAUAUAUUUUAAUACUAUAUAUGUAUUUAUUAAAGAAUAUUUUAUUUAAAAUUAAUUUUUGAGUUAUUAUAAUCAAAGGGUAUAUUUGUAAAAAAAAAGGUUUGGCUGGUCAUUUAUAAAAUUCAAAGAAUCUAUGUGAUUAUUUAAAAAAAAAUUGGGGUGCGAAUUAUUUUUUUCCCUAGAGUAAUUAAUAUCUUGCACUAUUUUGACUGGAUAAUAAUAGAGGUGGGUACCAUGUCUGAACCAAUUGGCUCUGUUGUGGAUUAUAUAAUUCAACAAUUAGAAAUAUCGUUUAUCUUUCAUAUAAUCUUUACUAAUUUGCAGAAGAAAAGAUGCCAAAUGCCUCUAAGUUCUUAUAUUGUCAAAAGUAUAUGAUACGAGUCAUUUUCUCACGUGGGUACCCUUAUUUUUUUCAUAGGAAUAUGAUAUAUAUAUAUAUAUAUAUGCUAUUAAACUAUAUGGCUUCAUACUGAAUUGAACACUAACUUUAUUAAACCAUACUCAAUAACGUAUCCAUAUUUAAAAAAAAAAAAAAAGAGGGUGCCCGCACUUAAGAAUUUUUAUUUAUGAUACUAUUUUAAAUUUUUUUAAAUAGAAAAAAUACCUUUAGGCGAAAUUGUUUGACCGUAAUCAAUGUUGUGUUUAUUACAUACAUUUUGAUCAAAUGGAUGUGUCUAAAAUUAGGAUAGGAUCCUCUCCUCUCUCUCUCUCUCUCUCUCUCUCUCUCUUUUUUCCUCUCCUUGCCUUUCCUUACAUUCAUAAUUUAUUGAAACAAGUUAAUUUAAUUGUCAAUAAAGUUGAAAAAAAAAAAUACUGAUUCGAUUGUCACCAUCAAUAUGAAACUCUAUCUUAAUCACUUUGUAGAAAAGCAGAGGCAAGGAAUAAAAAAACUAAUAAAAUAGAAUAAAACAAAAAAAUAAGGAAUGGAUUCUCGUAAAAUCAAUAUAUUAAGUAAGCAAUCUUAUCAGAACGCAUUUUAAUGAAUAAAGUGCCAAGAACUAGUAAUACUAAAAAAAAUUAACCGGCCGCAAUUUAGAUAAUAACUAGUGGUACCUUUCCUAUCAUCAAACAUUGAGGGGUGGCCGCCAAGGCUCUUAUUCUAUUCCCAUAAUUAGAUAGGUGUAAAAUUUCUAUCACGAUAUUAGUAGAAGUAUAAAUUUGACAAGUUGUGGUACGGGUAGAAUUUCCUCCCAAACACAGAGGUAUAAAUUUAGAUUUUAUUACAAUAGAACAGAAAUAGUUAGUUCCAACAGAUUUCAGAAAUAGAUUUCAAAUUGUAUGUAUAUCAAUAAACAUCUAAUUGCAAAGAUAUAUGUGUUAGAAAAUAAAAUAAAAAUAAAACUAGCUGGAUAUAUAUCAUCAGUCAUAUUACUGACCGUAAUAAAUAAAGAAUGUUUUUCUACUGAGGGUUCCUACAUUUUAUUUAAAAUGCAGUAACAAAUUUUGUAAUAUUGUAAAACUCAUUUACAAUAUUAUAAAAGUCAUUCCCACAUUUUAAUAAAAUGUGGGAACCUUCAUUGAAAAACUUCUAAUAGAUAAAAUCCCUUAUAUUAUUAAAAUAAAAAAUAGACAUGUGCAAUGCUUGUUGCAUAUUAGAAUCUAAUAGAUAGGAAAAAGGAUAUCUACGCCCCCAAAGUUUGGGGAAACAAUCACUAAGACCCCAAUGUUUUCAAUAAGGGAUACCUAGAUCCCCUUUUGAUACAAUAUUCUUUAACUUUAUUGACCUAAAAAAUUUGACUCCAAUGUUUUAUAUAAAUAGAAAUAUAAUAAUAUAAAUAUAAUAGUGUAAAAAUUUUAAAAUAAUUUCAAUAUUAAAAAAAUUUAAUAUUAAAAAAUUUUAGUAUUUUACAAUCUAUUAAACAUAUUUUGUUAUAUUUAAAGUAAAUUUUAAAAUAAAUAGAAAACAUAAUAUUAUAAUAGAUAUAUAAAAAUUUAAAUUAUUUUGAAUAUUGUUUAAAAUAAUUCUAAUACUAUUAAUACAUGAGAUGUCUUUUAUUAAUUGUCAAAUUUAUUUAACUCAAACAUUUAUUUAAGAUCCUUAUAAUAAAUACAAAUAUAUUAUCUACUUCAUCAAAAUAAAUAUAGUAUUUUACAUUUUUAAAAUUAUUUAACUUUUCAAAUUAUUUUAAUAUUAUAACUCUACUGAAAAAUUAAAUUAUUUAUAUUAUAUUCUUAUUUAUUAAAAAUAUUAAAAUCAGUUUCUUCUAAUGAUCAUAUUUAAAGGGUAUUAUGAUUAAAAAAAGAAUACUUUUUGAAAUUUUGAAGAUAUACAUAACUAUUUUUAAUCUUAGGAUGUAGUUGACUUUUUUAAUCACAACAAUGCUAUAAUUAAAAUCAGGACAUCAAUACCAUAAUUAAACAUGAAUUAUAUAAAUAAAACAUAAGACAUGUAAAUUUAACAUAAAACUUGUACAUUGAGAUUAAAUAUAAAUAAUAAGACAUAAAUUAUCAAAAUAGAACAUAACAGUUGUAAGUGGAAGGUAAAAUAAAUAAAUCAACACAGGAAUGAUAAAUUUGUAUAUAUUAGUAAAUAAAACAAAAACUUACAAAUGUAACAUAAAACUUAUAAAUCAACAUUAAGUGUAAAAUAAAACAUAAAUUGUGUACAUGAAACAUAAAACUUAUAAAUGAAAGGUAAAACAAGUAAAUCAAUAUAUGAUGUACAAUGAUUGUGUAAGGUACAUUUCUGAGGUCAUAAAUUGAGCUACAUAUAUCCUUUUUCGAUGUAUAAUAUACCAUUUCGAAGCUUACAAUAAGAAGAAUCUAGCCCAAAACGGAGCUAAACAUUUCACUUCUUUCUUGUUCAUUUUCUAGUUUUAAGUUUUUUUCCUAAUUUUUCUAAUUUUUCUAGGAUUUUUAUCUUUUUUCUAGAACCUAGAUUUGAGUGCCGUUCAUUUUCCUUUUCUUAUUUUGAUGAGGAGAAUUUUAUUAUGAAAUAAUAUUUUAGAUUUGCCUAUUUUGAUAGAAUCAAGAUAUUUAGUGUUAUUAUACAAAUGGGUGUAAAACCUUAGUUUGUACUAUUCAGAAUUAUUUAAUAACCUUCUGUCAUGACCCAACCUAGAUCGAGCAAGAUAUUAUUCGUUUUGGGCCUUAAUAAGGCCUGCACGGUUUUUUUUCCUGGGGGUUUAAGGACAGAAGCUCCCGGUCUGAACCCCGUCACUCGACUUAUGGAGGCAUGUGUGUGCCAAGGGAAUAGGGGGCAGUGGAGAGAUAAAUUCUUCUUAUAUGUAACACCCUAGGCGAAUUCCAUAUCGGCAAAAGCACGGGAGAGAUGUUAGGUUUAUAAGGGGUGAUCCAUACCUUAAUUAGUAAGAAGCGUUUUAGGGUGUAUGGGUGCCCCAGGGAUAAAACUGUACGGGCCUUGUUAAGGCCUAAAACAAACAAUAUCUUGUCAGGUCUGGGUUGGAUCAUGACAUUAUGGUAUUAGAGCAACUUCGCGUGUCCUCUUGAGCAAUGGUGGGGCAAACCUCAUUAAGGACGCUGAGUUCCUAAGGGGGGUGUAUGUAACACCCUAGGAAAAUCCCACAUCGGCAAAGCACGAGAGACAUGUCAGGUUUAUAAGGGGUGAUCCACACCUUAAUUAGCAAGACACGUUUUGGGGUAUAUGGGCACCUCAGGAACAAAACCGUGCGGGCCUUGUUAAGGCUCAACGCAGACAAUAUCUUGUCAGGUCUGGGUUAGGUCAUGACACCUUCUUUAUUCAUAAACUUUGUUUCAACUAUCUUCAACCCUUUUACACUUCCGUUUCAUCAAUAUAAUAUUGGUAAAUUGAUGUAUUAUUAAUAAAUAAAACAAAAACUUAUAAAACUUAUAAAUUGAUAUUACGUGUAAAAUAAAAUAUAAAUGAUGCAAUUAGAAGGUAAAAAAAUAAGUUAACAUAUAAGUGACAAAUUGGUGUAUCAAUGGUAAACAAAUUAAAAACUCACAAAUAUGACAUAAAACUUGUUAAUCAACAACAUGUAUAAGACAAAACAUAAAAGUAAAUUAAACAUAAGACUUAUAAAUGGAAGGUAAAAUAAUUAAAUUAACAUAAGAAUGAUAAAUUGAUGUAUUAGUGGUAAACAAAACAAAAACUAACCAAUGUAACAUAAAACCUGUAAGUCAACAUUAAGUGUAAAAUAAAAUGUAAAUUAUGUAACAAAAUAUGAGACUUGUACAUGGAGGGUAAAAUAAGUAAAUUACUGUAAGAGUAGUAAAUUGGUGUAUUAUUUGUAAAUAAAAUAAAAAGUAAUAAAUAUAACAUAAAACUUAUAAAUUAACAUUAAGUGUAAAAUAAAAUAUUAAUUACAUAAAUGGAAUAUAAGACUUGUAAAUGUGGGGUAAAAUAAGUAAAUUAACAUAAGAAUAGUAAAUUGGUAAACAAAAUAAAAACUAAUAAAUAUAACAUGAAGCUUGCAAAUCAAUACUUAAUGCAAAAUAAAACAUAAAUUAUGUAAAUGGAACAUAUAACUUAUAAAUAGAAUGUAAAAUAAGUAAAUUAAUAUAAGAGUUAUUUGAAAAAAAUAAAAAUAAACUUACAAAUGUAAAUUAGAAAGUCAUUAGAAUAACGAUUACCUUAUAUAUUUAUUGAUUUUAUUUCUAAUUUGAAUAAUGAUAAUUUUGAAUUUAUGUAAUAUAUUUGAUGAUUUAUUUGAAAUUUUAUUAAGAAUAGAAUUUAUCUCAAAAUUAGAUUUUAAAAACUAUUAUUUUCAUGUUUUCUAAAUUGAUUGUAAGAAGACAUGAUUUUGCAUCAUUCUAAAUCUUCUCGAUAGCAACCCUAAAUAAUCUUUAAGUACAAGUAGAAGUAAAGUUUGAAACUACAUCAAAUAUGUAUAAAAUUAGAAACUAUGUCCAAUUUUAUAGAUAUAACAUAUAUGUCUAAUAAUAUAAUAAUAUCCUUUUAUUUUCUUUUUGGCAUGAUCCAUAUCAAGAAAAAUAAUUUUUCUUAAUUAAUAUGUGCAGUAAACAAAUACUAUGAUAGAAAAUUUAAAAAAAAUUAUAAAUGCACUGGAUGAAUAUAGAAUUUAUAUUUAUAACAAUUCAAUAAAACUUAUUCCAAUUAUUUUCAAUGCAAUUUUUUAUUUUCAAUCAUGAGAGAGCUUUUUCUUUGCUUGAUAAAUUAAAUAAAUAAACUAUUUUUUGCAUAAUUAAAGUUUAAUGUUGAUUUACAAAUUUUAUGUUAUUUUUAUAAGUGUUUGUUUUGUUUGUAAUUCUAAAAUACCAAUUUACCAUUCUUAUAUUAAUUUAUUUAUUCUAUUUUUUAACUAUUUUUAUAUAUAAUUUAUAAAAUUUAUAUUUAUCACGGUAUUAAUGCCGUAAUAUUUUAAUCAUGGUAUUAUAAAAUUUUCUUGUAAUCUUUAUAUACUAAAUAAAUUACUUAAUAUGGGGACCAUGAGGAUAUAGAAUUAUUAUCUGGACUGUGCUGAAUACAAAGAAUUAAUAUUUGGCAAGUACGUUACUCUCAAUUAUUCGGAUAGAGACUGACAUGUUAAUAAUUUUCUUUACAUCAACCACAAAUGUCUCAAUAAUUUAUUCUAUAACAUUUGUCUUUGGGCUCAUUACGUCGGCUCCACAUUACUUGUCAUUAUGGCUUGGAUUAACUUUUGAAUGGGCCUAGGUACGUGUGUCUCAACUAAUCAACAAGUACCAUCACCAGUAACAUUAGUGCUGCCAAUUUUCCAAAGUUUGAAAUAUAACGUUCUAGCUGCCAGUUUUGACAAUUUAGUACGUAAGCUUACAACUCUAUUUUGUCUUUGUACACUUUCUAAUUGUAAUAGUAUCAAAGGAAUUGUAACUGCACUCUACUUAAAUUUAUCUAUUUUCAUUUUUUGUGCUAUCACCUUGAAACAACUGAAAGCCUCCAAGUGGGCCGUGUGCCCAAUUUUUUUUGUUAAGCCAAGCACGGCUCAUGGCACGAGCCCUCGCGUGAUGUGCUCGGGCCGUACCCAAAAAAGACUUAUUAAUUUUUUUUCCUUCAAGUCCACGUGUUUUUUUAAACCCACAGACUUGGCGUAGUUUUUUUAAGCUCAUGUACCUAAUGUGCUUUUCCAAACUCAUUAGCCCAUUUAAUAAUAAUAACAACAACAACAAUAAUAAUCAUUUGUAUUAACUAUUAAGAGAACAAUUAACAUUUUAUUAUCAGUUUAUCACAAUUUCGCAACUAUUAAGUAUUUAAUUUCACAAUUACCAAUUCAAUUAUAACACAACAAUAUUAUUUGAACUACACUUAAGCAAAUUACACCUAAUUUUUAUUUGAACUAUUAAUAUUAUAAUUGGACUUGAACUCCAUUGAAUGAAAAUACAAUUUUUAAUUUUAUGUUUUUGUGUAUAAAUAAAAAAAUAAAAAAAUAUUCCGUUCAUAAUUUUAUUUUUUUGUAUAUAAAUAUGAAAAAUAUUUUAUUCACAAAUCACAAUUCACAAAUCACAAAUCACAAAUCACAAAUGAAACAUAUCUCCGUUAACUAAGUUACGAUUUCAUAAAUGAAAUAUUAAUUGUCAUAAAAUUUUGAUAUAUGAUUUAUAAAAUCGUGAUAGUUAUAAUUUUAUUUAUUAAAAUUAUGAUAUUUAUUUAUUUAUUUAAUAAAUGAUAAACAUAAAACAAUUAGAAUUUUUUUUAAAUCUAAGACUUAAAUUAAUUUAAUAAAAUCUAUUAAAAUUUUAAUUUUAAAAUAUUUGUAAAAUCAUAACAUUUAUUUUUACUUUUUAUUAAAAAAUUACUUUAAUAUAGUUUGGUUCACGUGCUAUUGAUGGCUCACGGACCGCGUGUUAGCCUACUAAUGAAACAUGUUUAUUACGUGACUUUUUGCGUGUCUUGCUUUUAAGCCACACGUACCUAAAAAUUUGAGCCCUACCCGGCCACGUGUGUGCCAUGCUGUGCAAUUUACCUUGCCGAAACGUGCUAAUACCGUGCCGUACUGUAUGGACAUGUACCGCUCGGCCCGUUGAGCACCUUUAUUGAUAGCACAACGUUAUUUUUCUUAUUAUUUAUAACAAUUCAAUCUAAAAAAGACCAAAAAAAAAGAAAAAAGCUUACUCAAUAUAAGGAAAUUUUGCAACUGCUAUCAAAUUUUACACCUGCUGCCACUCGAGAAAUUUUAGUGGUAGCAGCCAUGGACAUUCUUGGUUCGUCUCAAACAAGUACUGUCGCAGCAAUUUUAAUCACUCUUUUAAUCAUUCUAUACACCUCGUUGUCAGUUUCAAGAAAUUUGCUUAGAAAAUACACAAGCAAGAAGAAGAGGGGAGCACCAGAAGCUGGGGGAGCAUGGCCUGUGAUUGGCCAUCUACACCUCUUAGGAGGGCCAGAACCUCCUCACAGGGUGUUGGGCUGCAUGGCUGACAAGUAUGGACCAAUCUUCACAAUCAAGAUGGGCAUAAAUCGAGCAUUAGUUGUGAGUAAUUGGGAGAUGGCUAAAGAGUGUCUUACUACACACGACAAAGUCUUUGCCAGCCGUCCAAAAACUCUAGCCAUGGAGAUUUUAGGCUACAAUUUUUCCAUGUUUGGGUUUAGCCCAUACGGCUCUUACUGGCGAGAGACACGCAAGAUAGCCACACUUGAGCUUCUCUCGAACCAUCGGCUUGAGAAGCUCAAGCAGGUACGAGAGUACGAGUUGAAGACUUGUUUGAAGGAGUUAUACCAGUUAUGGGACAACAACAAAAGCACUAAUAAGAUGUUGUUGGUAGAGAUGAAGAGAUGGCUUGCAGACAGCAUCCGUAAUGUGGUUUUAAGAAUCAUUGUAGGAAAGGGAUGCAAUUCAAUGGAUAGUGAAGAAUGGAAAGAACUAUUAACGAGAUUUUUUGAAAUGAGUGGUAAGUUUGUGGUGUCAGAUGCAUUGCCGUUUUUGAGAUGGUUGGAUAUAGGGGGUGAUGAGAGGUCAAUGAAGAAGAUUGCCAAAGAAUUAGACGUUGUUGUUCAAGGAUGGUUAGAAGAGCACAAGAUGAAGAGAGAUUCUCAGGAAAUGAAUCAAGAAGAAGAAGAUUUUAUGUAUGUGAUGCUUUCGAUUUUAGGAGAUACAGAGCAAUAUUAUGGUCGUGAUGUUGAUACAAUCAAUAAAGCUAUUUGCCUGGUAUGCCUCUCUUAACCGAAAAUUUUCUUUUAGGUUUAGUCUAUGGGCGACUCAAUCCCCUCUAGAGUUUGAAAAAUCAAGACCUCUUCUUUUUAUUUUAUUCUUUUAUUUAUAUUAACCGCACAUUAAUGAGGCUCAAACUCAGGUCUUAAGUUGUACGAAGGUUGUUCCUUAUCAAUGAAAUAAGACUUUGCUCGGACUUCUUCUUUUCACUCAAGAGAUCUAAACAAAAGAACUAGUGGUAUCAAUCUCUUAAUUGAAUAUUAUAUACUUUUAAACGAUUUUACACUUAUAAUCAUUCAGAUAGUUGUUUACAUCAUUCUUGAAGAUGAGAUUUCUAAAUGAAAGCAAUUAAAUCUGCAAGUUGUGAAUUGAAAAUAUUUAUUAUUCUGUUGUCUCCCAAUCAGUCGAUCGGGUAAAAUGGUGAACCAAAAGUCAAGGAAAUCGUCAUCUGUUCAUUAUUGCAUUAGUCAAUUGGGACCUACAUUUUAGGAUAAGUUUUUGAUAAUAUGUUGGUGGAUUUGAUCUGUCAGUAAAAGCCAAAAGAUACCCAAAAAAAUUGAGUCUUUAAUGGAUUUUUUUUCUUAUCGUCUUUAAUGGAAUUUAAUUAAGUUGCAUUGUGGACAAGUGCAAUAUGCAUAUACAUGAAAGCAUAACAAUGUUGUAUACACUACCAAUUUUGCAGGGUCUCAUCUUAGCAGCAACGGACACCACAGCUGUUACAUUGACAUGGAUUAUCUCCCUGCUUCUCAAUCAUCAUGAUAUUCUAAACAAGGCUCGAAAUGAACUAGAUAUUCAGGUGGGCACAAAAAGGCAAGUGAAUGAAUCAGAUAUAAAAAAAUUAGUUUACUUACAAGCCAUUCUUAAAGAAGCAAUGCGUUUAUAUCCUGCUGCGCCACUCUUAAUUCCACACGAGUCUAUAGAAGAGUGCACAGUAAGUGGUUACAAUGUUCCCAGCGGCACACAACUUUUUAUCAACGUUUGGAAGCUUCAACGUGAUCCCCAUGUCUGGGAAGAGCCUUGUAAGUUUCAGCCAGAAAGAUUUUUGACAAGGCACAAGGAUACUGAUGUCAGGGGACAAAAUUUUGAAUUGUUACCUUUUAGUAGUGGCAGAAGAAUGUGUCCUGGAGUUUCAUUCGCCCUCCAAGUUAUGCAAUUUACACUUGCUUCUUUACUUCAUGGCUUUGAUAUUGCAACCCCAUCAAAUGAACCAUUGGACAUGGGGGAGGGAUUAGGGUUGACCGUAGAGAAAUCUACACCACUUGAAGUACUUGUCGCUCCACGUCUUUCUGCUUCUUUGUACGGCUAAAUUGAUUCUCGAUGUAAUAUAUCUAAUAAACUUUUAUGGCAAGUAUUGGUGUGUUUUUUUCUUGUUUACUCUUACCCAUUAGGCCUUUUCUAGUUGAAUAUAAAUGUUCGAAUUAUCAUUAGUCAUAAAUUUCUAGUAUUAAACGAACUUUUAUCACGACUAAGCUCUGAAUCCAUCAUGACUAAGCUGUGAAUCCAAUACCAUUUUGCAAAGACGCAAAAUGCCGAAAAUGCUAUAAAGCUAGCUUUCCUUGUUUGCAGAAAUCAGAAUAGUUUUCUUGAGUGCAAUAUUGUACGUCCUAGUGGAGGCUUCUUUCCUCUGAUCUUGCCACUCAGGUUACAGGUAACGCUGCUUAAUGUUAUCACAAGUUCAAGAAAACAAAUGAGAAUAAAAACUCUUAAGAGAAAAGUUUCUUCUUCAUUUUGGAUAUUUUUCUUCUAUUAACUCUUCCCGUAUCUGUUGUAAUCAGAGGCGGAUCUUGGUCAUUCAUCAAAAAAACAAAAGAAAAAAAAGUCUUCGGAUAAGAUCAAAACCACUGAUACGGUGCUGUUGGUAGAGAUGAGGAGAUGGUUUACAGACACCACACGUAAUGAAGUUUUAAGAAUGACUGUAGGAAGGAUGUCAAUUCAGUGGAUAGGAAGAAUGGAAAGAGUAAACCAUCUCUUUAAGUGGGUUCCAACUCCUAACCUAUUUUAUUAGUUGAACUAAUUGGUACUCAUCACGUGUCGGAAUGUUAUUGAUGAUGAUGAUGAUGAUGAUGAUGAUGAUGAUGAGGAUGAGAUUUUCAAACGUGGGCAGCUGAAUCUGUAACUUGUGAAUUGAUGCGAAUAUUUAAUUAUUCUGUUUCUAUUCAUGCAGCUAAUCGGUUUAAUAAAUAUUUAUGACUAGUAAAGCGUAAGGCUCGCUAUGUCCCUUUGUGGGUAAUAGAAUUUCAUUUAUUUUUAUUAAUGAAGCUCUCUCCACCGUCAAGGUCAUUUAUCAAAAUAAUAAUAAUAAUUAUUAUUAUUAUUAUUCUGUAUUUUCCCAAUCGGUUAAUAAGGGAAAUUUUCAUUUUUAUCAUACAAUUUAGUCCAGUCGAUCGAUUUUUAUUCAAUUGCGGGGUUCAGAAUUCAUUUGUUUGCGCACACUAACAAUUUUGCAGGGUCUCAUCUUAGUUACAACCGACACCAUAACAAUAAAAUUCACAUGGGUUUUCUCUUUGUUUCCCAACCACCAUAAUAUUUUAAAAAGGGCUCAAAAUGAACUAGAUAUUCAGCUGGGAAAAAAAGGAUAUGUGAAUGAAACAUACAUAAAAAAUUUAGUGUAUACACUAACAGGCCAUUCUCAAAGAAGCAAUGGGUCUAUAUCCUGCUGUGCCACUCUUAAUUCCGCAUGAAUCUAUAGUAAGCUGUGCCUAAUUUUGAAAAUCAAACCUUACUGGAGUGCUCAAACUAGAAUCUGUUGAUACGAUAAUUUAAUAAUUUAAAAAAAAAUUAAAGUCCCAUCUCAAAAAAAAAAUAGAAGCGCGGGCCCCGCAAUAUCACUUUCAACCAACAUUGGAAAGAGAUCUUGUUUAUCUUUUGUUUGUAUAAUAUCUACUGAUUUGCAAAAGAGAUGAUAGCAAAUGGCUCUAAAGUUCCUGGAAUGUCAAAUAUCUUUACCGUAUUUUAUAAUAGAAAAGAUGCCUUUGGGGUCAAACUUGCCGGCCGAAACCAAUGCCAUAUUCAUUUCUUACGUUUGAAUGUUUGAUCCUUGAUCAAUAAAUUAAGCAAAUCUUAUCCGGUCCCACAUCAAAUCAAUAAGUGCCAAACAAUAAUAAUAAUAAAUAAAACUAGCGGCUGCCCACUAUAUCAACAAAGGACCUGUCUAUGGUACAGAUUCUGUAACAAACAUCUCCCGUCAUCCCACCAUCCGAUUUUCUAUUGUUUAGUUUCUCACUCCACAUCCAACCACAUCCAACGGCUGAUGCUGCAGUCUGUACCUUACAGAUUCUGUAAGCUAGUCGAGUCCAUCAACAAAAGUUGAAUGUUCGGGCUGGUUGAUUCUUUGCAGUUGUAAAGGCUUAUUUUCCCCCACGUACUUAAGUAGGGUACACUUUUAUUAGAGAGUAGAUAUGUCCCUUGCUUGAAUAUUGGUAGAGUUCGAAAUAUAGAUUCUCAAUAAAUUUCUACUGCAUACAUCAGCUAGGGUAGAUAUGUCCCUCCGCAAAUAUUGAUGUAGGUAGAAAUCUGUAUUGCAUAAUAAUAAAAUUUAGGAUAUAUUUUGGAUUGCAUUAGCUUCCCAAAACAAUCUAUUUUAGGAUAAAUUUUGAAACAAUCAAUUUUAUAAAUAAUUUAGUUACAUGUUUGGUAACCUUAGAUUAUAAUAUAAUUACUUAUUAUAUGAUUUAACAUGCAUUUUUGGUAAAUUAAUAAAAAAAAUGUUGAAAUAACAAAAAUAGACAUUAUUUAUAUUUUGGUUAUAUAGAAGGAUUGAGCUACGGUUCAACGGGUGCCCCAUACCCCUUCUUUUUGUCUUUUUUGGUUGCACCCCCAAAUCUCUUCUUUAUUUACAGUUUAUUAAAAUAAUAUGUUUUUCCUCUUUAUUCAACCCCUCACCUACGCAUUCUUCUGGAUUUUUUUUUCCAUUUUCAAUUAAACUUGUAAUCAACCAAUUGCAAUCAAUAAAAGAAACUUGACAUUCUCAUUGAAGCUACUUCCUUAUUGCCUUAAGAUUCAUUUGCUCUAUAUCACAUAAGUAAUAAUGAAUUAAACUUUUAUACAAAAAAAAAUCACAUAGUUAUAUUUUUGUACCCAUAAUCUAUUCAUUAUACAAUGAAAUUCAGGUCUAAUAAAUUUGAAAAUUUUCAUAUUUUAUUACGUGUCUUCUUCCCUUCUUCUCCUCCACGUGUCUCUCAAUUUUCUCCUUAAAUAAUCUAACUCUAGGGCUUUCUAAUGAUUGGAUAACUAUUAUAAUAAUUUUUUUUUUCAGUAAAACUCCUCUUAUUAGGUUAAUGAGUUUGUUUUCUUAAGUAAAAAGAAUAUUUUAGCAAAUGAUCAAAAGUGAGAGUUUUAACAAAAAUUCAAAGUUUGUCUUAGUUUUCAUUGUCUUUGACGCAUCUGGCAUGUUUGAUUUCUUGAUUAUAACUUGCAAAAGUGGGUAAUAUAACACAAUGAUGAUGAUUAGUGAUUCGGAGAGAAUUUGAGAGAAAAAGAUAUUGGCACAAAAUUUUGUGAACUUUAACUUUUCUAAUUUUUCAGCAAAUAUUAGGGAUUGCAUUGUUAAUAAACAAACAACACAUCCCUGCCCUUGAAACUCCUUUUGUGUCAAAUCCAAUCGUGGCAGCAAAAAAAAGACAAAAAGAGGAGUAUGGUGUACCCGUUCCACCAUAGCUAUAUAGAAAUCAAAUAAAAUUAAUUUUAAAGCAUAUUAUUUAAUAAACAAAAAAUUUUAAUUUUUCUCAACUUUCCAUUUAUAUUUUCUAUUAAUCAUUAACAGUCAAUGCCAAUUCAUUAAUAAGAACUUUUAACUUUAUGUUAUCUUUCUAAAAAAAUCAUUAGUCAAUAUCAAAUGCUAAGUAAUAAGAAAAAUACUUAAUAACAAGAAAUAAAUGAAUGGAGGUUGAAAUUUCGUUAGUUGGAAACUGUGCCAUUGUCAUUGACAAAGAUGGAAAAUAGGGUAGGCAAAAUCUGGAUCCGGGUCCGGAUGUAGGUACAUCUGCAUCCGAAUUUGAAUCCGGAUGUAAAUUUUUAAAACUGAAUUUGCAUCUGGAUUCGCAAAAAAAGAUGCGGAUCGGAUGCAAGUAAUAUCCGCAAUGAAUGCGGGCGGAUAUUCCGGAUAUCCAGAUCUGCAAAAAUUAAAAUUUAAUAAUUUAAUAAUUUAAUAAAUAAUUUAAAAAUUCAAUAAUUUACCUAAUAAUAUCAAAUAAAAUCCAAUCAUAAUUCAACAAAUACUAAUUCAACAUGAAUAACGUACAAUAUAAAAUUCAAUCAUAAUCCAAAAUUAAUAAUUCAACAUGAAUAAGAUACAACAAAAUCAUAAAUCCACAAAUAAAUUUUAAUUUUUAAUAUAUAUAUUUAAUUUAAAUUUUAAUUGAAAAAUAAAAUUCAAUAAUUUACCUAAUAAUAUCAAAUAAAAUUCAAUAAUGAUCCAACAAUUAAUAAGUCAACAUGAAUAGUAUAGAACAACAUCAUAAAUCCACAAAUAAAAUUUAUUUUUGGAAAAUUAUCAUUGCACCGCCUUUUGUUUGCCUUAUGUUCAUCCAACCACCACAAAAUUCUAACAUGCUUUCUGCACCACAUUUCUUUUAAAAUUUGUAUCAAUUACCCACUUUUGCACUAACACCGUUAAAUAAUUUAAACGAAAUGAUAAUUUGACCCCUAAAUAAAUUAAGAUAUCAUUUUAUCUUGUAAAAAUUUUAAAAAUAAAAAAAUUAUAAUUAUAAAAAUACCUCUACAUUUAAUAAAGAAAUAAAUCCAAAAAUUAGAAUUUUUAUUUUUAAUAAAAAUUAUUUUAAAAAAAUUAUAAUUAUUCAAAUAAUUACAAAAUUUUGGGAUUUAAUAAAAAUCCCUUAAAUUAUUAAAAUUUGGGAUUUUUUUUAAUAAAUAAAUUCAGUUAUUUUAAUAACAUUUUACAAAAUUAUAAUUUUUAAUAAAUAAAUUCAGUUAUUUUUUAUUAAAAUUUUGUAAAAUUAUAAAUUUUUAAUAAAAAUAAUGAUUAAAAUUUUGCAAAAUCUAAAUUUAAUAAAAAUCAGCUAAGCACAUCUAUUUUGGAUUUAUUUUUUUAAAUUUAGGGGUAUUUUUAUAAUUAUAAUUUCUUUUAUUUUUCAAAACUUUAUAAGAUAAAAUUAUCUUUUAAUUAUUUAGGGGUAAAAUUGUUAUUUCGUUUAAAUCAUUUAAUGGGGUUAGUGCAAAAAUGACUAAUUGAUAUAAAUUUAAAAAGAAAUGUGGUGUAGAGAACAUGUUAGAAUUUUGUAGUGGUUGGAUAAACAUAAAACAAAAGAAAGGUGGUGUAAUGAUAAUUUUCUUUUAUUUUUUAAUUUUUCAUGUAAUUUUUAAUAUAUAUUUUUAAUUUAAUUUUUAAUCUAAAAUAAAAUUUAUCCGGAUCCGAAUAUCUAGUUUUCCAAAUGCACUAACAUCCGGAUCCUAAAUUUCCAUAUCUGGAUCCACAUUUUUUAAUAUGCGAAUCUGGAUGUAUUUAACAUCCCUAAUGGAAAAGUUUCCCUUCAUCGUUAGACUCAAAAUUUCACAUUCUAAGCAACCAUAUCCAUAUUAUCGGCUAAACAAAUUUGCUGGUGGUGGAAAGGCCUCCUAAAUAAGCUGGCUGUUAAAAUCAGGUGUUUUUUGCUUCACCGCCAACAUGAACAUUAUUUAAAAAAUUGUUGUAUCUGUUGGAGAUGGCAAUUCAUGUCACCUCACCUCGGUUAGACGACGGUGCUAUAUUGUCGUCACAUUUGAGCGGCAUUUAUGCCACCACUGGAUUAUUUUCUCUACAAAGACCGAUACCAUCAUGUAGAUCAUGAAGCUUCAAGUCCACUGGUACCAGAUUUACCAUCGAAGGACAACUUUCUCGCUGAUGACAAAUUGUUGGCACUAUAUGCCCGCAAUUAUUUUUUAUUUCAAAAUUUAAUUUAUAACAUUUAAAUAUUAAUUAAUUAUUGUGUAAGGGUAUUUUUGGUAAACAAAUGUUUGUGAAGGACAAUUUCGAUAUUGUACCUUACAAAUUGAUUUUGAAAUAAUCGGGUUUGGAAAAGCUACUCUUAAGUUUCUUUUAGAAAUCAAUCUAAGGUCAAGGAAAGUAGAACUACUGAAAUGCACUUUCUUCCUUCUCGGUUUUCUCUGAAAACUUAAAUUGAAAGCCAAAUAGAGUUGUCUAUGACUCUUUCUUACUACCCACCAAUUGGGUCUCUUAAAACCUUUUCUAAUUCACCUUAUCUUUUCUUUGUUUCUUUCUUUAAUCCUUGUUAUUAUCAAUAUUAUUUUCAGUAGCUCAAAAUCAGUCCAAAGUCAGAGAAGUAGUUGGUGAAAUAAAGUCAACAGUAAUUAAGAAGAGUCCUACAACAUAGCUAUGGACACUGAAGAAUUAAUUUGGUGGUGCAAAGCAAUUACUUUAUCAGGGGAGGGAGAAGACAGAGUAGGGAGAAGACAGAGUAUCCUUACGAAGUAAAAUGAGAGCUGUUGUUGUUUAAAUUUUAUUAAACUCGCAAGUGCACGAAUCUAUUGUAAAAUAGAUUCAUGGUGACGAGUGUCGAUCCUACGAGGAGAUGUAUUUUAAUUAUAUGUAGAGUUAAUUUUCUAUGAGGAUGGUUGGAUUUGUGGUGAAAGUAAAUUAGAUUAUCCUAAAAUUUGAACUAAAAUGGCGAGAAUAAAAUGAAGCGAAAUCUAUUGAAAUGACGUACUUGCGUAUCUGGAUCUGCAUCAAUAUGCACCAUGGGCUAAAUAUUCCUUAUUAAUGUCAAUUAAAUCAUGAAGGGGGAUUCCACUCCUCAUGAACCACACUCUAAUCAAUAUAGUGCUAAAGGCUUAUCGUGUCAAAUAAUAAUAACCUUGUACUAGGGAGCCGGUGACACCAUGGCUGUAUCUAGAUAAGAUUAUUACUAUUUGUCAACGAAAAAUCAAAACAUCCACAAUAAUUAGAGGGGAAGAGAAAGUAAAUUUACCAAAUAAAACUCAUGACACAUGUUGAGACUGCACCUUCAACCAAAGCUUGAAAGAAAAUUAGCUACUCAUAAUUAAACUAGGGGCAAAAUGAGAAUUUAAUAAAAUACAUAGAAAAUACAAGAUGGAGAAGGAAUUAUAGAAAAUUGAACUCAAACAUGAAUUUAGGGAUGCCAAAUUAGUGGGGGAAGACCCCCUUUUUAUAGAUACAUUGAGUAAAUCAUGGCCAUCAGAUUAAAAAUAUUUUGGACGCUCAGAAUUGCGCCACGUCAUCAGUCAAAAGUACGCGGUUUGACCACGCGGUUUGAAUAGUGAUACGGAUUGACCACGCGGUUUGAACAGUCAUGUGGCUUGAACAAUGACGCGGUUUGGUUGUAAAUAAUCCCAUGUAUAUGUAUGUACCGUACGCGCGAUUUUUAGUCCACUAACAUGUUGCCACGUCACCGAUCAACAAUACAUAAGAAUUUUAUUCCAAUAGAAUCAUGACACCUCAUCAGUCAAUGCCACAUCAUCGGUCAAUGUCACAUCAUCGAUCAGUCUAUGUGAAUAGUGUCGUGAACAGUAACGUAGACACUACCGUACAUGUGAACAUUGUCAUUUUUCCUUUUAUACUCCUCCUAAGGUUUUCAACUGUCAUGAGUUCAAAAUUUAUGUCUGUUUUGCUGUCUGAACUCUGGUUCAUUGUAAAAUGACCAUGAUGUCCCUAAAAUAGAUAAAAUACUUAAUUAAAAUAAAACACACAUAAUUAAAUUACGAGAGACUAAAACACAUAAAAGUAUAAAUGUUAGUAAAACUUGAAAUGUAAAAUGAUGAUUUUCUCCUUUAUAAAUAUACACUUUCUAACACUCAACACACCCCCAAACUAGCUUAUUGCUAGUCCCUAGCAAAUAAAGCGAAAACAAAAUUCAAAACCAAAAUGAAUUUUUUUUAAAAAUAAUUGUGCUUAUUCAAUCAGACUAAUGAUAGUAAUCAAAUAAAAGUAUAAGCAUUAUUUUCAGUCUAAAGAAACAUCACACCCACAUCAAUCAUUCACAUGAAUUAGCCUAGUAGACUUUGUCACAGCUACUUUCAAGAAUGACAAGUCAAACCCCAAAAUCUCACUAGAAGUAGUGACACUCUCACAAGGAAAUUAAACCCAAUAAAAAUAGUUACUCCAAUGAAUGGUAAUUGAGAGAAAAUAAUAAAGAAGUAAUAUCACAUGCUCUCACCAAGAUGAAAGAAAUAUGCCCUCAGCUUAGAAAUAAUACGAUCUCAAGUAAAAAAUAAUAAUAAUGCUAGUCAACCCAAUUUAUUUAUUUAUUUCUUUUUUUUUAUGCACCACUACAUCUUUUUAGCCCAUAUAUAUAGUUUUUACUUCAAACUAUAGCUCUCUAAAAUCAGGAAGGACUUUUAUUAGGAUGUAACGUAGGUUAGGGACAUUGCUAACAAAGGAGGGUAAAUAAGGAAAACAACAUAUAUGUUUGAGAAAAAGUAGAGAUCUUUUGGAAAUUACAAGGUGGAUUUCACCUAUUAUUAUUAUUUUUUUCUUUUUUUUAAACAACAAUUUUUUUGUUUGGCACAACUUCACUGAACAAAAUAAUUAUUUACAUUUUUCUCAAACAUAAAUAGAUUAUGGAACUUUUAAAAUAUCGGAUAUUACUCCAAAUCGGAGUGGGCCAAGAUGAUAAGUUUUGACAAAGAAAUUUUUUUUUUUUUUAAGGCUCAAAAUGGUUAACUAUGGAUUUUUCACAAAAGGGAUGGCUAGAAAGGCUCAAGCGGGUCAAAGAUGGCAUUUCCAUCGUCUUUUAGGGCUCUAAAUAAUCUUCCAUAUCUACUAGUUAGAUGGACCUCCAGAUGUAGUAACACACAUUUUUUUCUUCUUUUUUUUAUUUUUUAUCUUACAAAUUUUGUUUUUAGAGGGUUGACUCAAAAGAAAUCUAGAGAUCGUAUAUAAAAUAAUAAACUGCUAAAUUGUAUGAUGAAUAAGAAAAAUGGGUUACUAUCCAAGAAAAAUGACAGGCUUAAAAACUUACUUGGUAUUUAUUAUGACAUGUGCAUUCCUUCAAGCAACUCAUAUUUGUCUCCGACAUCAAUAUGUGGAGUAGCAAACAUAACGUAAUAUUACUUAAGACCAAAGAUAAUAUGAAUACUAAAAUUUAAAAAUCAUCAUAUUAUCCAAUGUUAAAAAAUAUCACACAACUUUUUUUUUUAAACGACAAUCUACCCCCCAACCUAUUCUAAACAUGAAAAGAAAAUAUGCAUGUAGAAAGGUGAAAAUGACGUAGAAAAGCUAAUUAGAAAAGUUAAACUUAAAAUGAUAGAAAAAGAAAAUGGGUUUUUUUUUUUAAACUAAGAAGAUGCGUUUCUAGAGGCACUACACUCUAUAUUCAGCCAUCUUCGACUCAAAAAUUUGAAAGUGUAUAUUUGUAAAGGAGAAAUUAGAAAGAAGAAGUUAAAAAAAAUGAUUGUCAAAACUUAAUAAAGAAAAAGAAAACGUCUAGAAUUUUUUUGUUUGAUUUUUUUUAAAGGAAAAAGAUGCGUUUCUAGAGUACCUACACUCCAUAUUCAGCCAUCUUCAACAAAAAAAGUUAGCCACGGUUAGUCUCUACAACAAAAAUUAGUAAAAACUUACAUAAGAUUCCACAAUUGUCAAUUAUUCCCUCCCCCCAACCAGAAUAAAACAUUGUCGUCCUCAAUAUUUUAAAGGAAAGAAGUGGAGUUUAGAAGACAUCACCUGGAUGGUGCAACACAGAAGAAAAUAUUUACAAGCAGAGAGUUAAAUCUAAUUUAUACUUCUUACUGCAGCUACUGUUACCACCAUUAUUUGGAGACUCCAACACAAAGGUCCUGGGGUCUGGCUCUGGUCUAUAAGCUUGUAAUAGAUCAAGUAGUUCAUUAGUAGUGUGAGCACAAAUAAAAAUUUUUUUCGCUGUGGAAUGAAUGAAAUAGUUUUUUAUUGCAUGGUUAAGAAAUGCGAUAAAGUCAUCAUAAAAGUUAUUGACAUUUAACAAACCGAUGAGUUUAUGGUGAAUGUGCAGAUGGGCCCAAGAUGCUAAUGUGAUAAGUGCCUCUAGAGUUGCAAGAUCUCCUGGAAGGAAAAUAAAAGUAUCAGUAUGAUUAAGCAUUUCAGUUAUUCUUUCUUGCAUACCUGAGACGACUAACUCUUCUCCAGUCGAUGAGUCUGACAAACUGUCCAAAUGUUUUAGGGCUCUUGGGAUGAUGCCUAACACUUGGCUUUCUCUGACAAAAGCAGCUUCUGAGACCAAUUUUGAUAACCCUCGAUUACCUCCUCCAUACACCAAGUGUAAUUUUCUCUCUGCUAUGCUUCGACCAAGAUCUAUGGCUGCCUCAACGAAUUCUUUAUGUUUGCCAUAGUUAAAUCCAGAAAGCACACAAAUAUUUUUGAAUUGUUUAUUUGAAGUAGCUGCCAUUGGGAUGUUUUCAAAAACAAUUUGUGAAUGCAAAACAAAUCAUAUUUAAGAAUCUUGGUGAUAGUGGGUCACAGAUGUGUAUAAGGUAACAUGUUUGUGUCAAUUAACGCGUAAAACACAUGGCUCGAGAGUAAAAAAGGAAACAGUAAAAAGGAAAAGAAACAAUGAUAAAAUAAAAUUAUUAAAAAUAAUAAUGCAAAUGAUAAAACAACAGUAAAAUAAAAUAACAGUGAAGUAAAACGAUAUGUACAAGUAGUUGUAACUGUGGCUCACAUUUUCCUCUAGUUUUACGUUCAGAAACGGCUUAAACGCCCUCUAUGGGUCGAGAAUAGGCUUCUCAUCCAGUUUUCUUAUAAACUGGCAAACAUGGUCGUUUAUAGUCAGAUUCCCAAGACUAUAUCGUGCAUGCUCUUUCUGGAAUAAUGGUCAUAACUGGAGAAUCGCUCCUUGUACAUAUCCACUGAGAUGUGUUUCAAGAGACAAAAUGAUAUCAUCCAAUGACUCCUUAUUCAAGCCAUCCCUAAUGAAUUAAAUACAAGUAGAAAUAAAAGUUUGAAACUAUAUCAAAUAUGUAUAAAAUUGGAAACUAUGUCCAAUUUUAUAGAUAUAACAUAUAUGUCUAAUAAUAUAAUAAUAUCUUUUUUUUUCUUUUUGGCUUGAUCCAUAUCAAGAAAAAUAAUUUUUCUUAAUUAAUAUGUGCAGUAAACAAAUACUAUGAUAAAAAUUUUAAAAAAAAUUAUAAAUGCACUGGAUGAAUAUAGAAUUUAUGUUUAUACCAAUUUAAUAAAAUUUAUUCCAAUUAUUUUCAAUUCAAUUUUUUAUUUUCAAUGAUGAGAACUUUUUCUUUGCUUAAUAAAUUAAAUAAAUAAACUAUUUUUUUUAAUUAAAGUUUAAUGUUAAUUUACAAAUUUUAUGUUAUUUUUAUAAGAAUUUACAAAUUUUAUGUUAUUUUUAUAAGUGUUUGUUUUGUUUGUAAUUCUAAAACACCAAUUUAACACUCUUACAUUAAUUUAUUUAUUUAUUCUACUUUUUAACUAUUUAUAUAUAUAAUUUAUAAAAUUUAUAUUUAUCACGAUAUUAAUGUUGUAAUUUUAAUCAUGUUAUUAUAAAAUUUUCAUAUAAUCUUUAUAUACUAAAUAAAUUACUUAAUAUGGGGACCAUGUGGAUAUAGAAUUAUUAUCUGAACUGUGCUGAAUACGAAUAAUUCAUAUUUGGCAAGUACGUUGCUCUCAAUUAUUCGGAUAGAGACUGGAGAGUGACAUGUUCAUAAUUUUCUUCACAUCAAUCACAAAUGUCUCAAUAAUGGGAGGGCCUAACUUAGCGCCUACCCUCAAUAAUUUAUUCUAUAACAUUUCUCUUUGCGUUCAUUACGUCGGCUCCUCAUUACUCGUCAUUAUGGCUUGGAUUAACUUUUGAAUGGGCCUAGAUAUGUGUGUCUCAACUAAUCAACAAGUACUAUCACCAGUAACAUUAGUGCUGCCAAUUUUCCAAGUUUGAAAUAUGACGUUUUAGCUGCCAGUUUUGACAAUUUAGUAUAUAAGCUUACAACUAUUUUGUCUUUUUACACUUUCCAAUUGUAAUAGUAGUAUCAAAGGAAUUGUAACUGUAUUCUACUUAAAUUUAUCUGUUGACAUUUUUUUCUUUCACCUUGAAACAACUGAAAGCCUCCAAGUCUUGAUAGCUAAAGGUGGCCAAAGGGUUGUGUCGGCAUAAACAAAAACCGUGAGGGCGGUACGUUGGUGGGUGAUGCCGUGCCGUACCCAAUUAUUUUUUGUUAAGCUCAGCACGGCUCACGAGUCCACGCGUGUCAUGUUUGGGCCAUACCAAAAAAAGCCUGUCAAAUUUUUGUAUCCUUCAAGCCCACGUGCCACGUGUUUUUUUAAACCCACAUAUUUGGCAUGGUUUUUUAAGCACAUGUAUCUAGCAGGCUUUUUCAAGCUCAUCAGCCCAUUUAAUAAUAAUAACAAUAAUAAUAAUAAUAAUAAUAAUAAUUUUUAUUAACUAUUAAGAGAACAAUUAACAUUUUAUUAUCAGUUUAUCAUAAUUUUGUAACUAUAUAUUUAAAUAUUUAAUUUCACAAUUACCAAUUCAAUUAUAAUACAACAAUAUUAUUUGAACUGCACUGAAGUAAAUUACAACUAAUUUUAUUUGAACUAUUACUAUUAUAAUUGGACUUGAACUCCAUUGAAUGAAAUACAACUUUUUAUUUUAUGUUUUGUGUAUAAAUAAAAAUAAAUAAAAUAUUUCGUUCAUAAUUUUAUUUUUUUGUUAAUAAAUAUGAAAAAUAUUUUAUUCACAAAUCACAAAUGAAACAUAUAUCCAAUAACUAAGUUACGAUUUCAUAAAUGAAAUAUUAAUUGUCAUAAAAUUUUGAUAUAUGAUUUAUAAAAUCGUGAUAUUUAUAAUUUUAUUUAUUAAAAUUAUGAUAUUUAUUUAUUCAUUUAAUAAAUGAUAAAUAAAAAAUAAUUAGAAUUUUUUUAAAUCUAAGACUUAAAUUAAUUUAAUAAAAUAUAUUAAAAAUUUAAUUUUAAAGUAUUUGUAAAAUCAUAACAUUUAUUUUUACUUUUUAUUAAAAAAUUUACUUUAAUAUACUUUGUCUCACAUGCUAUUGAUGGCUCACGGGCCGUGUGCUAGCCCACCAAUGAAACAUACUUAUUACGUGUCUUUUUACGUGUCCUGCUUUUAAGGCGCACGUACCUAAAAAUUUAAGCCCUACCCGACUAUAUGCGUGUCAUGUUGUGCCGUGUGCCUUAUCGAAACGUGCUCGUGCCAUACCAUAUUGUAUGAACAUAUACUGUACUGUACGGACACAUACCAUGCCACGUACUGCCCGGCCCGUUCGCCACCUUUAUUGAUAGCACAACGUUACUUUUCUUAUUAUUUAUACCAAUUCAAUUCUAAAAAGGACAAAAAAAACUUACUCAAUAUAAAGAAAUUAGGCAACUGCUAUCAAAUUUUACACCUACUACCACUCGAGAAAUUUUAGUGGUAGCAGCCAUGGACUUUCUCGGUUCGUCUCAAACAAGUACUGUCGCAGCAAUUUUAAUCACUUUUUUAAUCAUUCUAUACACCUCGUUGUUAGUUUGACGAAAUUUGCUUAGAAAAUACACAAGCAAUAAAAAGAGGGGAGCACCAGAAGCUGAGGGAGCAUGGCCUGUGGUUGGCCAUCUACACCUCUUAGGAGGGCCAGAACCUCCUCACAGGGUGUUGGGCUGCAUGGCUGACAAGUAUGGACCAAUCUUCACAAUCAAGAUGGGCAUAAAUCGAGCAUUAGUUGUGAGUAAUUGGGAGAUGGCUAAAGAGUGUCUUACUACACACGACAAAGUCUUUGCCAGCCGUCCAAAAACUCUAGCCGCGGAGAUUUUAGGCUACAAUUUUUCCAUGUUUGGGUUUAGCCCAUACGACUUUUACUGGCGAGAGACACACAAGAUAGCCACACUUGAGCUUCUCUCGAACUAUCGGCUUGAGAAGCUCAAGCAUGUACGAGAGUACGAGUUGAAGACUUGUUUGAAGGAGUUAUACCAGUUAUGGGACAACAACAAAAGCACUAAUAAGAUGUUGUUGGUAGAGAUGAAGAGAUGGCUUGCAGACAGCAUCCGUAAUGUGGUUUUAAAAAUGAUUGUAGGAAAGGGAUGCAAUUCAAUGGAUAGUGAAGAAUGGAAAGAACUAUUAAGGAGAUUUUUUUAAAUGAGUGGUAAGUUUGUUGUGUCAGAUGCAUUGCCGUUUUUGAUAUGGUUGGAUAUAGGGGGUGAUGAGAGGUCAAUGAAGAAGAUUGCCAAAGAAUUAGACUUUGUUGUUCAAGGAUGGUUAGAAGAGCACAAGAGGAAGAGAGAUUCUCAGGAAAUGAAUAAAGAAGAAGAAGAUUUUAUGUAUGCGAUGCGUUCGAUUUGAGGAGAUACAGAGCAAUAUUAUGGUCGUGAUGUUGAUAAAAUCAAUAAAGCUAUUUGCCUGGUAUUGGGAACCGGACGUCUUUGAGACGACAUAGAACGAAUCCGGAUCUGCUCAAGCAGCAAGUCAAGGGUGCUCAUCUACCCCAAAUGUAAAUGUAGCCCAACAGUAAAAGGAAGGAGGAGGGGUGCCAUCUAUAUCUAUUAAGAGUCGUCUUCAUCCAUGAAGUGCUCGAGAUCAGAGUAAAGUGAAUAGCAUGCCUCUCUGAUAUGUACUAUUUGCGGUCACUACUUUGUUGCUGAUUGUAAGACCUAGUCAAGUGGAGUAAGUUAGCUGUUAGUAGUUUUGUUGCUUUAGAAUAUAACGAAAUAAAUUUCAUGGGGGAAUCGUGGCACAUAGUGCUGCAUUAUCUCCUUAUAUUUUGGUAUUUUUAUUCCUUAUUUCUAGUUAGAUAUUUGUGUUGUAAGCCUUUAAAAAGGCCAGCUCUGAAUUCAAUAAAGGCAUCGAGCCAAUUAAUAUCCAACUUUCUAUCUCUCUUCCUGUUUAAACCUCCGUGAACCUUUUUCUGAAAUUGCUCGUAUCAGUGGUAUCAGAGCACGGUUCCUUUCAUGGACACUCGUGGCAAAACAAAUGCUGAAUUCAAGAAUGAAGUCAACGAAAUCUUAACUCGACAUGAAUCAAACUUUGACUGCCUCAAUAACAACUUCAAUCAAGUUAAUGCAACCCUUCAAACAGUCCUCGCUGAACUACAAGCACUUCGAGUCAACUCUACCACCAACUCAGCUGCUACAGAAGUAAACCCUUUCGAACCAGGAGAAUCGUCACAUCGACCUACCUCAUUUCUGAAUCAGAUUCACACAUCCAAUGCUACUCACAACCACAACCAAGCGCACCUGAAACUGAACUUCCCGACCUUUGGAGGUAGUGAUCCAACUGGUUGGAUUUUUAAAGCGGAACAAUAUUUUGAGUUUAAAGGAAUUAAUCCUCAGCAGCAAGUUCAACUUGCUUCAUUUCAUUUAGAGGGGUUGCAUUACAAUGGUAUCGAUGGUUCACAAAGUUUCGAGGUCCUUCCACAUGGGUAGAAUUCACUCAAGCCAUUCUUCGUCAUUUUGGACCGACGAAUUAUGAUGACCCGUCAGAAGCAUUAGGUCGUCUUAAACAAGUCACCACCGUGGCUGCUUAUCAAGAACAAUUUGAGUAGCUUUCUCACCGUGUGGAUAAUUUGCCUGAGAGUCAUCUCAUUGGAAGCUUCAUUGCAGGGCUCAAAGAUGACGUGCGGCUGGACAUUCACGUUAAGCAACCACACACUCUCUCAGAUGCUAUUAGCAUGGCUCGUUUGAUUGAAGAAAAGAAUAACUUGCAGCGUCGGCCAAGUUUCCCUACCCGUCCUGCAUCCACAACACCACCAUCUAGACUGCAACCGAAUACAACUGCGGGCAUCAUUGGUCCUUCUCCUCCACAGAAGACCACACCUAUGGCAACUCUCUCUCAACUUCUUUUUCGAUGGAUAACUGGGCAGGAAGCCAAAGCCCGCCGAGAAAAAGGUCUUUGUUACUAUUGCGACGAGAAGUACGUGCCCGGACAUCGUUGCGAGCGACCACAACUCUUUAUGUUGGAAGACCUUACAACUGUUGUAGACUCGGCUAAAACUGAGCCUUCUGAUGAUGAUAUCUCUUUUACAUCUUUACCGGAAAUAUCUCUCCACGCUAUGGCAGGAACUACCCACCCACAAACCCUUCGAGUCCUCGGUAAGUUGAAAAAUAGGGACCUCACAGUGCUCAUCGAUGGCGGCAGCACUCACAAUUUUCUUGACCAGUCUGUUGUAACUAAAUGUGGACUUCCAGUGAUCCGAGACAAAACACUUCAAGUAAUGGUCGGGAAUGGAGAGAAGGUUGAUUGUUCUGGUCGUUGCCUAGCGCUUACUUUGGAAAUUCAAGGUCAUCCAAUCCAAGCUGAUUUUUUUGUAUUGCAUGUGGCUGCUUGUCAAGCUGUGCUUGGGGUGCAAUGGCUGGAGACUUUGGGUCCCGUCGAGACGGACUAUCGACAACUCAAAAUGACAUUUCAACAAAAUGGCAAAGUUUGCACUUUCCAGGGCCUUCAACAACCUAACCUGGUUCCUAUGACUACUAAGGAAUUGCUGCAUGUAUCUGGUAUGAGUUUCUUUUUACAAGUAAUCCCUACACAAUACUCCUAUGAAUCAACCCCACAUCCAGCUGACCUUGAAUAUCUCCUUACUGAAUUCUCUCAUGUCUUCUCUACUCCAACAUCUUUACCCCCGCCAAGGACACAUGAUCACCAAAUAACACUUUGACCGAAUCAAGAGCCAAUUAGUGUACGUCCAUAUCAGUACCCCCACUACCAAAAGGCUGAAAUUGAGCAGAUGGUGCAUGAAUUUCUUGACUAUGGUUUGAUUCGUCCUAGUACGAGUCCUUUUUCCUCUCCUGUUUUGUUAGUUAAAAAAGUGGAUGGCACAUGGAGAUUUUGUGUUGACUAUCGUGCUCUCAAUAACAUCACAGUAAAAGACAAAUAUCUUAUACCAGUAAUUGAUGAGUUGCUCGACGAGUUGCAUGGUGCAAAGUACUUCUCCAAAUUGGACCUUCGAUCCGGGUACCAUCAAAUAAGAGUCCGAGAGGAAGAUAUUCACAAAACGGCUUUUCGUACACAUGCAGGCCACUAUGAAUUUGUGGUCAUGCCAUUUGGUCUUACAAAUGCUCCUUCUACCUUUCAGAGUCUUAUGAAUGACUUGUUUCGGCCCUAUCUUCGAAAGUUUGUCUUAGUGUUCUUCGAUGACAUAUUGGUGUACAGUCGAACCUGGACUGAGCAUUUACAAUAUCUUCGCAAUGUACUAGUAAUAUUGUCACAUAACACUUUGUUUACUAAAAAAUCAAAAUUUUGUUUUGGCGUUUUACAGGUUGACUAUUUGGGCCACCUCAUUUCCUUAGAAGGUGUCGCAGUCGACCCCGCAAAAAUCAAGGCUGUUAUGGACUGGCCGAUUCCUUAUUCUUCUCGGGGAGUUCGUGGUUUCCUUGGUUUGGCCGGGUAUUAUAGGAAAUUUAUUCGUGGGUUUGGAGAACUUGCUGCUCCAUUGACACGUUUGUUGACAAAGGAAAGAUUUCUUUGGACUCAGGAAGCAUCCACUGCUUUUGCACAACUUAAGCAUGCCCUUACUUCUCCCCCAGUGCUGCGUCUUCCUGAUUUUACACAACCUUUUGUGAUUGAAAGUGAUGCAAGUAACAAGGGAAUCGGUGCUAUAUUGACGCAACAAAACCAACCAGUAGCAUUUUUUAGUGAAGCACUUAAAGGGUCAGCUUUGGCAUUGUCCAUGUUGAGUGUUAGAAAAUGUAUAUUUAUAAAGGAGAAAAUCGUCAUUUUACAUUUCAAGUCUUACUAACAACCCUUACUUUUAUGUAUUUAAGGUUCUUGUAAUUUAAUUAUGUGUGUUUUAUUUUAAUUAAGUAUUUUGUGUAUUUUAGGGGCAACAUAGUCAUUUCACAAUAAACGAGAGAUCAAACGGCAAAAUUGACAUCACUUUUGAACUCAAGACGGUAGAAAACCUUAGGAGGAACAUAAAAGGAAAAAUGGCAUUGUUCACAUGUACGGUACUGUCUACGUUACUGUUCACGACACUGUUCACAUAGACGGAUCGAUGACGUGGCAUUGACCGAUGAUGUGGCAUUGACUGAUGAGGUGUCAUGAUCCUGUUGGUCUAAAAUUCUUAUGAACUAUUGAUAGUGACGUGGCAGCAUAUUAGUGGACCAAAACUUGCGCGUACGGUACAUGCAUUACACAGGAUUAUUUUCAACCAAAUCGCGUUACUGUUCAAAGCUGGGUCAAACCGUGUUACUGUUCACCCAUGUGGUCAAACCGCGUACUGUUGACUAAUGAUAUGGCGCAAUCCUGAGCGUCCAAACUGUUUUUAAUCCGAUGGCCAUGAUUUACUCAAUGUAUCUAUAAAAAAGGGUUCUUCCCCCCCCUAAUUUGAUAUCUCUGAAUCCAUUUUCGGGAUCCAUUUUCUGUAAUUCCCUCUCCAUCUUGUAUUUUCUACGUAUUUUAAUAAAUUUCCAUUUUACCCCUAGUUCAAUUAUGAGUAGCUAAUUUUCUUUCAAGGUUGGGUUGAAGGUGAAGUCUCAACAUGUGUCAUGGGCUUUAUUUGGUAAAUUUAUUUUCUUUUCCCCUCUAAUUUUUGUGGAUGAUUUGACUUUUCGUCGAUAAAUAAUAAUAAUCUUGUCUAGAUACCGUCUUGGUUUCACCGGCUCUCUAGUACAAGGUUAUUAUUAUUUGGCACGAUAAGCCCUUAGCAUCAUAUUGAUUAUAGUGUGGUUCAUGAGGUGUGGAUUCCCCCCUCAUGAUUUAAUUGGUAUUAAUAAUAAAUAUUUAGCCCAUGAUGCAUGUUGAUACGGAUACAGAUACCCAAGUACGUCAUUUUAAUAGAUUUCUAUUCAAUUUAUUCUCGCCAUUUAAAUUUCAAUUUUAGGAUAAUCUAAAUCAUUUUCACCACAAAUCCAACCACCAAUUUAGAAAAUUAAUUCUACACACAAUUAAAAUCCACCUCCUCGUGGGAUCGACACUCGUCACCAUUAAUCUAUUCUACAAUAGAUUCGUGCACUUGCGAGUUCAAUAAAAUUUACACAACAGUCCACAUAUGAGAAAGAAAUGUUAGCCAUUGUUAAGGCAAUUCGGAAAUGGCGUCCAUAUCUGCUAGGCAAACCUUUCAUCAUCCAAACAGACCAAAGGAGUUUGAAAUAUUUACUUGAGCAACGUAUUACCACUCCUGCUCAAACACGGUGGCUACCAAAACUUUUGGGUUAUGACUACACUAUCCAGUACAAGCGGGGUAAAGAGAAUCAGAGAGCUGAUGCUUUAUCCCGCAUUACAAAUUUUCAUUUUUUCGCAAUUUCCUUGCCCGUUGCUGAUUGGUGGUCUACUCUCCAACAAGAAGUUUCUCAAGAUCCUUUUUAUGCCAAGUUGUCCAGUUCUGAUGAAUCUCAGUGCCUUAAAAGAGGAGGUGUUUGGAUUAAAAAAGGAAAACUUCUAUUGAGUCCUAUUUCUACUCUAGUUCGUGCAAUCUUAUCAGAAGGGCACUCAUCACCAACAGGUGGCCACUUUGGUUACCAUAAGACACUCAGCAGACUCAAAAAGAAUUUUACUUGGCCUGGAAUGCGAACGACAAUCAAGGAAUAUAUACGCGGUUGUGAUAUAUGUCAACGUUGUAAAACAGAAUGUCUACAACCUGCGGGCCUACUUUAACCAUUGCCAGUGCCGGAAAGAAUUUGGACUGCAGUCUCUAUGGAUUUCAUAGAUGGUUUGCCUCCAUCCCAAGGCUAUACUGUUAUCAUGGUCGUUGUUGAUAGAUUGUCAAAAUACAACCACUUUAUUCCUUUAAAGCAUCCUUAUACAGCCUUGACAGUAGCAAAGGCAUUUGUACGGGAAAUUGUUCGCUUAAAUGGUGUGCCAAUCUCUAUUGUCAGUGACCGAGACCGUGUUUUUCUUAGUUCUUUUUGGAAGUCCUUAUUUCAGUUACAAGGCUGCACUCUCUCAAUGAGCUCUAGUUAUCAUCCACAAACGGAUGGACAAACUGAGGUUGUCAAUCAAGUUUUGGAACAGUAUCUACGUUGUUUCACUCAUGACCAGCCUAAAAAGUGGAUUGAUUGGUUGCCUUGGGCUGAGUACAGCUAUAAUACAACCAUUCACUCAUCAACUAAAGUUUCUCCAUUUGAGUUUGUAUAUGGUGUACCUCCUCCCUCAUUGCUAUCCUAUGUUCCCGAUACUACUAAAGUUCAGGCAGUAGAUGAUUUUUUGCGUUCUCGAGAGGAAAUAUUGUGAGACUUACGUCAAAAUGUUAUCAUGGCUCGUGAUCGAAUGAAAUCACAGGCAGACCAACAUCGUCGUGAUAUUGUUUAUGAGGUUGGUGAUUAUGUGUACCUUAAGUUGCAACUGUAUCGUCAACAUUCGGUGAUUUUUCGUAGCUCACUUAAGUUGGCACCACGAUUCUUUGGACUGUACAAAAUUCUUGCUCGUGUAGGGCAUGUUGCUUACCGGCUGCAGCUUCCAGUUGGGUCUCAAAUUCAUGACGUGUUCCAUGUGAGUCUUUUGAAGAAAAGAGUGGGUUCAGUUCAUUCUUCUCCUACUUUGCCUCCUACAAGCGGCGACUUCACCAUUCUUCCACAACCAGAGGCUAUCUUGGAUACUCGCAUUAUUCGUAAAGGCAAAUAUCGUCCCAAAACUGAGAUUCUUGUAAAAUGGGCUGGUGCACCCAAGGAAGAUGCCACCUGGGAGAAUCAAUGGCGUUUUACUCGGCAGUAUCCUGACUUUCUCCUUGCGGACAAGUCGCAUUUUAGGGGGGUGGAUUGAUAUGUGCUAUUUGCGGUCACUACUUUGUUGCUGAUUGUAAGACCUAGUCAAGUGGAGUAAGUUAGCUGUUAGUAGUUUUGUUGCUUUAGAAUAGAACCGAAUAAAUUUCAUGGGGGAAUCGUGGCACAUGGUGCUGCAUUAUCUCCUUAUAUUUGGGUAUUUUUAUUCCUUAUUUCUAGUUAGAUAUUUGUGUUGUAAGCCUUUAAAAAGGCCAGCUCUGAAUUCAAUAAAGGCAUCAAGCUAAUUAAUAUCCAACUUUCUAUCUCUCUUCCUGUCUAAACCUCCGUGAACCUUCUUCUGAAAUUGCUCGUAUCACUCUCUUAACCGAAAUUUUUCUUUUAGGUUUAGUUUAUGGGCGACUCAAUCCCCUCUAGAGUUUGAAAAAUCAAGACCUCUUCUUUUUUAUUUUAUUCUUUUAUUUAUAUUAACCGCACACUAAUGAGGCUCAAACUCAGGUCUUAAGUUGUAGGAAGGUUGUUCCUUAUCAAUGAAAUAAGACUUUGCUCGGACUUCUUCUUUUCACUCAAGAGAUCUAAACAACAGAACUAGUGGUAUCAAUCUCUUAAUUGAAUAUUAUAUGCUUUUAAACCAUUUUACACUUAUAAUCAUUCAAAUAGUUGUUUACAUCAUUCUUCAAGAUGAGAUUUCUAAAUGAAAGCAAUUAAAUCUGCAAGUUGUGAAUUGAUAAUAUUUAUUAUUCUGUUGUCUCCCAAUCAGUCGAUUGGGUAAAAUGGUGAACCAAAAAGUCAAGGAAAUCAUCAUCUGUUCAUUAUUGCCUUAGUCAAUUGGGACCUACAUUUUAGGAUAAGUUUUUGAUAAUAUGUUGGUGGAAUUGAUCUGUCAGUAAAAGCCAAAAGAUACCCAAAAAAAUUGAGUCUUUAAUGGAAUUUAAUUAAGUUGCAUUGUAAAUAAGUGUAAUAUGCAUAUAUAUGAAAGCAUGACAACGUUGUAUACACUACCAAUUUUGCAGGCUCUCAUCUUAGCGGCAACAGACACCACAGCUGUUACAUUGACAUGGAUUAUCUCCCCGCUUCUCAAUCAUCAUGAUAUUCUAAACAAGGCUCGAAAUGAACUAGAUAUUCAGGUGGGCACAAAAAGGCAAGUGAAUGAAUCAGAUAUAAAAAAAUUUAGUUUACUUACAUGCCAUUCUUAAAGAAGCAAUGCGUUUAUAUCCUGCUGCGCCACUCUUUUUUCUACACGAGUCUAUGGAAGAGUGCACAGUAAGU
rnacentral:lncRNA from 1 species